rnacentral:lncRNA from 1 species
CCUGACUGCAGCUGCUGCUGGUCGCUGGCUCCCCACGACCAGCCAGCAGCAGCUGCCAGUCAUGCAAGUCAGUCACUGUGGGUGUGCAGCCCCAAGCCACAUCUGCCCACAACCGAGUGACGGAUUCCAAGCAAGAAUUGCCCAGCCGAGCCCCAGUUAACAGACCAUGAGAAAUAAUGCGUGGGAACAAGGUGUGAAAUUUCUUUGUUCAUCUUUUUCUUCCAGUUCAUAAGAGCUUUUUGUCAAUGAGGGAUAAUAACUCUUUGCCUGAUGUUUUAAUACUAGACAUUUCCCCCCAUUUUGCCAGGUAUCUUUGUUCUGCUAUAUGGAGAUUUUUUGUUUUGUUUUGUUUUUGAUGUAGUCAGUUAUUUCAGUUAUUUGCUUCUAGGGAUUCUGCUUUCAUCUGCUCUUUCAUAGGCCUACUCCCCAACAAAUCUGUGUUCUAAAUCUAUACUUAUCUGAUCAUAUGUGUGUGAAACUAACAAAUUUGUUAUUGAGCACCUAUUCUGUGGCCACUUAUUCUCUGAGUUGCUAAGUAUACAGUAAUGAAUAAGAUAGAAUGGGACCAGGUCUUCAGUGAGCUCAGUUUUCCUAUUGUAAAGUAUGUCACCUGCAGUGAUGAGCGGAAUCUGAGCUGGUAGGCUGCUACGGAAGCCCAUAGUGGAGGCACCUAUUAACUUCCAGGGAGGUCAAGGAAAGCUGCCUAUGGGAAGUGAUGUAUGUAAGUUAUCUAUGGCUCUGCACUGGAAGUUUUUUACUUGUAAAUUCAUUUUACAUUUAAGUCUUUGACCUAUCAGGAGUUUAUGUAAGUUCAAGUAGCAAUUACCUAGCAAAUACAGUAUAAGUGUUAUUGUUUUCAUAUACUGGAUUUCUAUGUGCACUCUCAUCUGUUUUAGGGUCCUUUAUCCUGUUUUAUAAACCUAUCUCUUUUGCUUCAAAGGUGCUAUCCUUAUAGUUGUUAUUUUAAAUUUGUAUUUGAGCUAAAAUAAAAAAUCACUUGCUUUGCUUCAGUUAAUAUUUUGUACCCUAAAUUAUUUUUCUUAACAUGCACUUGUACUUUGUUCUACCUUUAUAACAAAAUUACAGUGUUUUUAUUAUAGUUAUAUAUUUUUUAAAAAACAUAUUUUGCUUAUUAUAUUUACUAAAGUUUUUAGUUUCAUGUUUGUAAAUGAUUAUUAUUAAAAGAUUACACACCCUAAAAAUGCACCUAACUUAUAUGGGCCACUUAAUGAAGAAUAAUUUCACACCCCUACACCCCUUCAUUGCUGUCACCCAAGUGGAGGGCCUCAUGUGUCCCUUCAGAUCUGUCCACUGUUAGAGGCAAUCGUAUACAGAAUCGGUACUAAGCAUUCUCUUGAUUUUCUUUAUAAUUUUACCAUAUAUGUAUUUUCCCAAAAACCAUAUUAUUUUAUUUGCCUUGUUUCAAUUUUUUCCAAGUAGAAUCAUUCUAAAUGUUGGUGGGUUUUUUUUGUAACUUCCUUCUAUGGUUCAACAUCAAGUGUGUGUAUAUAUAGAUGGAUAUAUAGAUAGAGAUAGGUGGAAAUGGAGUAUGCCAUAUGCCCUUAUUCUUACUGUGAUGUAGUAUUAUAUGUGUAUUCCAAGUAGCUUUUAUUCAAUCUAUUGUUGAUGAAUUUUGAAUGAUUUCUAUAUUUUUGCUAAUAAGGAUAAUGCUUCUCUGAACAUAUCUUGAUUCAUGUGUAAAAGUCUCUCUAAAAUAGAUAUAGAGGAGAAAAAUUGCCAUGUUGUGAAGUAUGCAUACAUUCAACUUUAUUAGUUAAUGCCAAAUUGUUUCACAGAAUAUUAAGCCACUACACUCCUGCAAGUAGUCUUUAACAACUCCUAUUGUUUAAUAUUCUUGCCAACUAUCAGUAUUCACUGCUUCAUCUUUGUUCAUCUGAUAGACAUGAAAAAGAUACCCUUAUGUUUCUUAUUAACAUUGUCUUGAUAUCUAAGACUUAAAACAUUUUUACCUUUAUGGCCGUAUGUUUCCUCUUCUGUUCACAGUCAUUCUUCAUUUUUCUAUUAGAUUAUUCAUAUCUCUCUCUCUCUCUCAUACUGGAUAUUGAAUCCAGGUGGUGCUUAACCAUUAAGCCAUAUCCUUAGCACCACCCCACUCCCAUUUUUAAAAAAAUUUGAGACAGAGUCAUACUAAGUUGCUCCGUCCUCACUAAGUUGUUGAUGCUGGCCUCAAACUUGCGAUCCUCCUGAGUUGUUGGGAUUAUGGGCAUGUGCUACCAGACCCUACGCUAUUUACUUCUUUUUUGAUGACUUGAAGGAUUUCCUUUUGAGAUUAUUAUAUAUAUAUAUCCAAUAGCUUCUCUCUCUUAACUAAUUUUAUUUUCUUUCUGUGACAGAGAAUUUAUCUUCUGAUGAGCUGAAAUUCUUGAUUUUAAUGUAAUCAAAUAUUCUAACCUUUUCUUUUAUGGCUAUUUUUUCAAUGUCUUACAUAGGAUAUUUUUCCAUCCUAAAAUCAUAAAGAUAUUCUCUACUUUUUCUAAAAGGCUCAAACUUGGCCAUUCAAUUUUUAAGUCACAAAUGUAUCUUGAAUUGACUUUGUGUCAAGUGUGAAUAAUAACGCAUAUUCAUUUUUUACUUUCCAAAAGACAAUCCCCUCCCUCUUAACUGAACAGUCCUUGCUUAUCUGAUUGAUUCUAUAUUCAUUGAAAAUGACAUCUUUUAGGACUCUCAAAUUUAUCAGAGGUAUUUAGCCCCUACCCACCUACCUUAAGCUAGUUUUCACUCCUGUCCCCUGAGAGCUUGACCCACUAAAAUCCAGGCAAACAGCACAGGGGAUACUGCACAAAGCCACUGCUCACGUUUGCCUGCAAAAUCACACUUUCUUUGGUUUCUGGCCUCCAGUUUUCUUCUCUUUGCCAGCUCAGUUCUACCUUUAUAAAAAAUAUAUUUCAAGCAUCCACCUAAGAGAUCUUGCUACACUUUCAAUGAAACAUAUUGCCCUUAAUUUUAAAUCUAAGUCAAAUUCAUCCUUCUUCCAGUUCUCUUGACUUUGCUUAUCAAGUUGGCUUGCUUUCUUGCUUCUUACAUCAUUGUUAUUAUUCUCAUUCUGGUCGACUGAGUUAUGUUUGCAAGAAGUUUUCUAGGAAGGACACAUGAAUGAUUCCAUUCCUGACAAUAUUUUAGUGUUGCCCUCAAAUAAGAAGACAACUUGCUGAGUGACACUGGCUCCCUUCUGCACCCUAGAGAUGUUGUUCCAGUGUCUUGCAUCAGGAAAUGCUCUGGAGGAGUCUGAUAUUUGUCUAAACUCUUGGUCUGUUUUCAUGUCUGUGGGGUGAGGUUUGUGGAGGUAGGGGAAGAAAUCAAGUAAUACUGACCUGUUUUAUGUUUCGGUUGUUGGAUUGUUAUAGAAAUUUCUCUCUGUCUCUUUCUCUCCCAGCUCCUUUUCUUCUGUAAUGUUACUUAACUGCACCUGAAUGCACCUUCAUAUGGGUUGUUAUUUACUAAGUUUUCUUAGGUCACAGUAAACCCUUUCAAUCAGCAGGUAUAGAUCUUCUUUCAUUUUAUGAAAGUUUUCUUAUAUCUUUGACAUUUUAUAUAUUUUUUCACUUAUAUUUGGAUUGUUAUUUUCUAUGUAUUGGAUCUCCAUUGAUUCUUCUUUAUGUGUAUUUGUCUGUGUGUCCUCUAUUCUGUACCAUUGGUCUACAAAUCUAUUUUGGUGCCAGUACCAUGCUGUUUUUGUUACUAUUGCUCUGUAGUAUAGUUUAAGGUCUGGUAUAGUGAUGCCACCUGUUUUACUCUUCUUGCUAAGGAUUGCUUUAGCUAUUCUGGGUCUUUAUUUUUCCAGAUGAAUUUCAUGAUUGCAUUUUCUAUUUCUAUGAGAACUGUCACUGGGAUUUUUAUUGGAAUUGCAUUAAAUCUGGAUAGUGCUUUUGGUAGUAUGGUCAUUUUGACAAUAUUAAUUCUGCCUAUCUAAGAACAAGAGAGAUCUUUCCAUCUUCUAAGGUCUUCUUUAAUUUCUUUCUUUAGUGUUCUGUAGUUUUCAUUGUAGAGGUCUUUCACCUCUUUCAUUGAUUCCCAAGUUUUUUUUUUUUUUUUGAGGCUAUUAUAAAUGGGGUAGUUUUCUUAGUUUACCUUUCAGAGGAUUCAUUAUUGAUGUACAGAAAUGCAUUUGAUUUAUGAGUAUUGAUUUUAUAUCCUGCUGCUUUGCUGAAUUCAUUCCUUAAAAGAAGAAAAAGUCAAUAAAUGACCUAAGAUUAUAUCUCAAAGCCCUAAAAAAAAAUCAACACCAAAAAUACUAGAAGAGAGGAAAUAAUUAAAAUCAGAGAUGAAAUUGAAGCAAAAGAAACAAUUCAAAAACUUGACAAAACAAAAAGUUGGUUCUUUGAAAAAUUGAUAAACCCUUAGCCACGCUAACAAAGGAGAGAGAAAAAUCAAAUUACUAAAAUCCAUGAUGAAAAAAGAAAAUAUCACAACAUACACUACAGUAAUACAGAGGAUAAUUAGAAAAUAUUUUGAAAAUUUGUACUCCAGUAAAAUAGAAAAUAUUGAAGACAUUGACAAAUUUCUAGAGUCAUAUGAUUUACCCAAACUGAAUCAGGAUGAUAUAAACAAGUUAAACAGAUCAAUUUUAAGCAAUAAAAUAGAAGAUGCCAUCAAAAACCUAUCAACCAAGAAAAGCCCAGGACCAGACAGAUUCACAGCUGAGUUCUACCAGACCUUCAAAGAAGAACUAAUACAAUACUCCUUAAAUUAUUCCAUGAAAUAGAAAAAGAGAGAACACUUCCAAAAUCAUUCUAUGAGGCCAAGAUCACCCUGAUUCCAAAACCAGGCAGACACAUCAAAGAAAGAAAACUUCAUACCAAUAUAUCUAAUGAACAUAGAUGCAAAAAUUCUCAUUAAAAUUCUGGCAAAUCGAAUACAAAAACAUAUUAAAAAGAUAGUGCAUCACAGUCAAGUGAUACAAGGUUGGUUCAACAUAUGGAAAUGAAUAAAUGUAAUUAAUCACAUCAACAGACUUAAAGAUAAGAAUAAUAUGAUCAUCUCAAUAAAUGCAGAAAAAGCAUUCGAUAAAAUACAGUACUCCUUCAUGUUCAAAACACUAGAAAAACUAGGGAUAAUAGGAACACACCUCAACAUCGUAAAAGUUAUCUAUGCUAAGCCCAUGGCCAACAUCAUUCUAAAUAGAGAAAAAUUGAAAGCAUUCCCGCUAAAAAUUGGAACAAGACAGGGAUGCCCUCUUUCACCACUUCCAAUUCACAUAUUUCUUGAAACUCUAGCCAGAGCAUUUAGACACAUGAAAGAAAUUAAAGGGAUAUGCCUAGGGCCUGGGGAUAUAGCUCAGUUGGUAGAGUGUUUGUCUCACAUGCACAAGGAACUGGGUUUGAUCCCCAGGGAUAUGUAUAGGAAAAGAAGAACUCAAACUAUCACUAUUUGCUGAGGAAAUGAUUCUAUACUUAGAGGAUCUGAAAAUUCCACCAGAAAACUUAUAGAACUAAUAAAUGAAUUCAACAAAGUAGCAAGAUAUAAAAUCAAUACCCAUUGAUUCUACUUUGUAAUUUCAUUUCUAAUCUCUUACAACUUAGACCUCUUCCUUAACUGUUUUUGCGUUUUUCUCAAUUUUACCCUUUAUCUAAUGUCGGUUUUUCAUAGUAUCAAUAUUCUUCUUGUACAAUUAAAUUUCUCUAACUAGAUGGCCUGGUGGUCAGGCAGUGCUUCAGAUUUAAAACUUCAUGUUUUGAACAUGAAGGAGUGCUGUAUUUUGUCGAAUGCUUUUUCUGCAUUUAUUUAAAUCACACAAUUUUUAAAAACUUCUAUGAAGGGUAAAAAUAAAAUAUAUUAUUGACUUCACCAUGAAAGGAAGAAAUAUAUAUAUAUAUAUAUAUAUAUAUAUAUAUAUAUAUAUAUAAAAUAUUCAUAAAUGUAUUAUACAAAUUAGCAUUUUAAAUUUCUUUACAUCUUCUUAUUCUCCUCAUGCAUUCCAUUUUAAGAAGGAACUAAGAAAAAAUAUCCAGAACUGAGUAACUUUGACCACACCCAAAGAGUGAGCUGACAAAUUACUUUCCCACUCUAUGAUCCUAUAAUAUAUAAGCUAUAAUUAUGUCUUAUACUGUUAAAAGUUUCCAUCAACUUCUCUAACACAUUAAGAGCAUCUUUUACUAUUAUUUUCUCCCUUUUUAAUGAAAUAACCAAUGCUUCCUACCAAAAUCAAGAGCCACCAAAGAAAAUCCUAUGCAAAGUAUCAAAAGAAAGAUAUGGCAAUCAGUGUUCCUCAUUCUUUAGAAUCUAGAAGAAAUCCAAAGAAAUCCUCUCUGUAUGUAGAUAUACUCAGGCCACUGCUGAGCACUUCUCCCAUCAGGUUGGAAUAAAAUUGCAUUGUUUCAGCUAUGGAAUGACUUUACAGAUUCUAGUUUCAAUUAUUAUGUCCCCUUUUGUGAGUGUGAGGCUUAAAUGCAGUGCAAGGAGCAAUUCUAAAAAUACCUGCUGAACAGAGAGUUGUAUAGACCAGAACUCCUUAUUCGUCAAUGUAUUUUUAAAAGCACAUAUGAGAAAGUUUUUGUAAGGACACUCUUGCCCCUUAAGAGUAGGUGGAAGUGCUACUCCAAAGUUGUCAUUUUCAAGGGAAAACUCUGUGGGCGGCUUCCUUUAUGCCUGGACAAAUUAGAGCUGCACAGGGAUUCGCUAAUUAGUAUGUGGUGAUGGCGAUGGCUCGGUUCGGUGGCCCUGCCUCAGGGCUUGGAUCAGGAUAACACGAGUAUUUUUGAAAGUUUCUUCUUCAAGGACAAUACCUAGAAGAAAAGAUGAAGAGAACUGGAAUUAUUGGACUUGGAAGAAAGAAUACCCAGGGCUCAACUUGCUAUUUUUCAAAUAGCUCAGAAGAAUGACAAUUCUGUGUGGUCCUCAAAAAGGAAAAUUAGGUAAUUACAGCAGGAGUUGUUAUACACCAAACAAAGAACUUUCCAAUUAUAAAGAUCAAGAAGAAAAGCAGUAGAGAAACUGCAAAAUAAUAACAACAACAAUUAUAAUCGGUAUGAUUUAUGGGGCAUUUUAUGUGCCAUUUUUAAUUUUAAGUGCUUUAUAGAUAUUAUCUCAUUUAAUCCUCAUAAUAAUGUUCUAUUCUGUAUUGUACUUCAUCUUUAGUCUUAUUUAUUCAUUUAACUAUUAUUUUUGAGGGCUUAGCACAGGCCAAUCACUGUUCUGGGGAGUAGGAUUAGAAAUUCAAAUAUUGACAAGGACCCUAUAGCUUUGUCUUAAAGCUUUUAUUUGAGUAUGGGCUGAAGGAGAGUGAAAGUAAAGAAAUAAACAAAGCAACAGAAAUAAUAAAUUAAUGAGUGAAAACUAAUAGCAAAGAAUUGAAAAUAGAGGGCUAAGGCAAUUACCAGUGAGCUAGGUAACCAGUGAAAGUAUCUCCAAGAAGGUGACAUUGAUUGACUGGCGGGAGACAGCUGGGAUUAGGGAAGAGGCAAGAACAUUGCUGGUAGAGAGGGUUAGGUGCAAGGGCAGCAAUAAAUUUGGCUGCUUCUAGAAGCCCAAAGAAGACCACCAGAGGAUAGUGGAGAAGGGGAAGCGGUGCUAGGUGAAGACCCAGGAGCAGCAAAGAACAGGUUGGGGCCCUGGGAAGGUCAGGGUGAAGACUGAUUGUACACUAAGUGUUAUGGCAAGUCCAGGGAGGCUUUUAAACUUUUAAACUAUCAGUUUAUAUUUCUUACAGAUUUCUGUAUUUUCCUUCAUACUUCUUAAACGUCACUCUGUCUUCCAUGUAUGGAGGCAAGAAUGGAAGCACAAAGGUCAUCUCAAGGACACCUUUCCCUGGAAGCAGGAAGUGAUUUCCCCAGGAAAAGGAACCAGGCCGCUGACUACUCCUCUGUGCUAUUGUUUAGUCACAACUGGAGCCUAAGAAAAAAAUCUGCCACUUCACAGCAUGGGGCAGAGCCCCAUAUAAAUAUCUAUAGUGGUAAACAUGGUCUUCCACUUUUAUUCUGGACUCUGAGUCUUGUGAGAAGUCACCUGCCAACAUGCCCUAAUUUCUACACACACAUACACACAAAUAUUAUACAAACAUGUGUAUCUAUAUGCGGCUCUUAUCCUGCUUCAAAUGAAUACACACAUGCACAGGGACGGGUGCAUGCACACAUACACACUGUGAAAAAAAAUCACUUUUGCACUGGCUUUAAUCAUGUGGAAAUGCCUUAGAAUGGAAUGCGCCUGGCUCGGGUCAAAUGUUAUCUGUAAUGCAAGGCCAACGCAGAGAAAUUUUUUUCCCUUUCUAAUAGUUUCCCAGAAAAAUCAAUAGCCAUGAAGUCUCAAGGAACUUUUUGUGCCAGUGUGAAACUCAGACUGUCAAUGUUGCCGAAAGGAAAACAAGCUUCUGCGGAGGUCACCCUUUUCAUUUUACGUGUAAGGAGGAAUUGGUAAUGUGACACAAAGACCCUUGUCCCUUGAUGAAUGGGACACUAUCAAACGAAUCAUGAUCAUUGAUGAUGUCACAUACACAUAACCCAUAUUUGUUGAAGGUAUCUAUAGGUCAGGUUUUAUUUCAAGUGUUUCUAGAUAUUUUCCAAGAGGUAGAAAAUGUCUCCAGAUCUGCUAGUGAUGUGUGUAUCCAAAAUUGAGAGGAAUCUCUAUAUUUUUCUUUGGGACUUAAUAGAAACAUUUUUCUUUUAGGGAAAUUUAUUAGACAAAAGUAGUGCCUGGUUGUUCUGUUCCUCCACCCAAAAAAGAGUUCAGGGGAUUUAAUCUGGAAGAGCUCCCUAAUGCUGAAAAUAUUAAAACAAACAAACCAGGUACAUCACUGAAAUCACACAGAGAGGAAAAUACUAAUACAGAAAGCAUUUUAUUCUUUUCUAUGUAUCUCUGUGUAAAUGGUGUACUUUGAACACAAAAAAAGGACCCAGAAUCAAGGAAUCAUAGUUAAUAUUAUUAUGUAAGAUAACUAUGAAAACAUUUGAAGCAAAAAAUAGAAAGCUUUCUCUUAAUCCUUCUACCAAAAUUCAGGACUUUCACAUUAGAUAAUCACUGAGAAAUAUCGCCUCUGGUUCCUUUUCUUAGUGACUAAUGUCACAUUCACAUUACUAUGUUUUUAGUUAUUUUGAUUUUAAAAGUAGUGUCUUCUCACUAACUAAAUCAUGGAAAGUUAAGAACAUUACAAAGAUGAAAAGAAAUCAUCCAUAAUCCCACUUAGUGACCUUAACUUUUUGGUUGAUUUCAUUUAAUUUUUUUCUUAAAUUUGAUAUUUUUACACAGUUAAGGAAAAACUGUAUGCACACUUAAAAAAAACUGUUCUUUUAUACCCAUGGGCAAUUUCCUGUCAUUAAAAAUUUUUCAUAAAUGCUUUUUUGAUAGGCAUAAAAUAAUAACUUUCUAAACCUUUAUUUUUAAACAUUUAAGCUACUUCUAAUGUUUUGUUACUAUUUUUAAAAAGCAUUCCAAAUGCAAUAUUUAUGACAUCCCAGCACACCUCAGAGAAGAGUAAAAUAGUUUAUUAUCCAUGAAUAAGUAAAUAAAGAUAGUAUUCUUUCCUCAUUUCUUGCCUCAACUUGGGUUACAAAGCUAUUAAUUGAAAGACAGAAUAGAGGGUUCUCCCCAAGUAUUGCAUAUCAUUGAAAGGAUAAAAGGCCUCAGCAGAGACCUGAAAGUUAUAGUUCUUUUUUUUUUUUUUGCCCAUCUCACUACCAUUUCAUAUCUUUCCAAGAAAAUUGGAAAUUAAUUCACCCAAGAUCUAUUACAUAUCUGGAAAUGCUCCUGUGCAUCACAGCUUUCAAUUUCCUCCAAAAUCAAACAGUGAUCUAGAAUGUGCCCCCACAUAGUACCACUGGGCCAUAUAACUUGAGGAGUACCAUCUGUAGUAUAUUCUGUGUGAAGUUCUCCCAUGGAGUAGUGCACGACAUUGCCCCAGACUGUUUCCCCAUGUUUAUGCAAGAGCCAAAUGAACAACAGAAGGACAGAGCAACCUCUGGCUACAUAAAAAACACUUUUGUUACUCUCACCUCAAAGCUAAUGCUAAAAUCUCCUUUGGCUAUAAUACCCAAGGCUGAUUGAUGGACUUCUCAAAUGAUUUUGAACACAGAAAGACUUCUUAGGUGACAUCAAACAUACAGAGACAGAGCUUCUCUAAGACAAACUCUGAACCAGACAACAAAGAAACCCUCAGCCUCCUCUACCAGGUUUGUCACUUGAAGCAACAGUUUUAGGCUGGGUGAAGGUCAGGAACAUUGAGAGAAAUAUUGACUGAGGCACAGAGCACAAGAGAGACUGAAAGUUAAAGAUGGAAGAAGGACAUAUAAAAAAUACUCCACUAAUCAAACUUCUAAACUCAGCACAAGGUAAUAUUAGAAAACUUUGAAGUCAGUGACACACUGAUGCUAACCAUGACAGCCAAAAACCAAACAUCAUUCAAUUCCUGAUUAGAUUGACUCAGCACUACCACCUGCCUCUCCAACAGAUCACCUAGCAGAAGAGAUAUAUGUCCACUUCUAGGCAUAAAGAAAUUUUGGACCUCAGUCUCUACUCUUUUACAUGUUCAAUUAGUCGAUCAAUUAAAAAUUAUAAGAUACACACACAAAAAAAAAAAAAAACAAGGACUAACAACACACUGUCAAAAGACAAAGCAACCAACAGAACCAGACUCAGUGAUCAACCAGAAGUUGAAACUAUCAAAGAGGAAAUUUUAAAUAACUAAUAUCUUAAAGACUCUAGUAGAAAGGGUGAGUAAUGUAAAAACGAAUGGAAAAUUCCAGCAAAGCAAUGCAUGUCAUAGGAAAAAAAAUAAAAAUGCUAAAAAUGGCACAUGUUGGAACAGGGAUAAAGAAUGCCUUCACCUAGUGCUCAUGAGACUUAACAAGCCAAGGGGAAAAAUCAGUGAACUUGAAAGUAGAUCAAUGGAAAUUACCCAAACAAAUACAAAGAGAAAAAAAAGAAUAAAUAAGAAAAAAAAAAAAAAAAAAAAAAACAGCAAGUAAGACCUGUGGGUCUAACGUGUGUGGAGUAGAAGAAAUAUUUGAAGAGAUAAUAGCUGAUAAUUUUCCAAAAACAAUGAAAUUCAUUAAGCCACAGGUCUAAGAAACUCAGAGUACCUCAAACAGCUCAAAUAACAAAGUAAAGAAGGAAGAGGAGGAGGGAUAAAAAUGAAACUCACACACAACUAGACCAAUCAGCUAAGUGUUUCAAAACUAAAGAUAAAGAGAACAUCUUGAAGAAAAAGAAAAUUAUGUACAGAGGAAUAAAACUAAGAAUGACAGCAGGUUUCUCAUCUGAAAUUAUGCAAACCAGAAGAUAGUAGAAUGACACCUUUAAAAAUGGCAAGAAAAAAAAACAAAAACUUCUAGCACAGAAUAUCUGUACAAUGAGAAUGUAUUUCAAAAAUGAAAGACAAAUAGAGGAUUUUUCAGAUAAACAAAACUGAGAGAAUUACCAACAGGCCCAUACUACCAAAAAAAAAAUGUUAAAGCAUAUUCUAUAGGUUUAAGAAAAACAAUGCUAGAUCAAAACUUGGAGGGACUGGGGAUUUAACUCAGUCAGUAGUGUGCUUGCCUCACAUGCACAAGGCUCUGUGCUCAAUUCCCAGCAACACACACACUCACACACACACACACACACACACAAAUUUAGAAUAUGAAGUCAGCAGAACUCCAGAAAUUGUUGAAAUUAAGUUUUUUCUAGCUCUAGGUGAGCUAUUUAUAAUACAGAAGUCAAUCUAGCAGACUCUAUUGGUGCCCACCAGAUCUCCUUUACUGGGAUAAUGUACCUUUUCCAUCUGGGGGAGGUGGGCAAGGGCACUCUCAGCUCACAGCUGUACUCUUCUGAACUUGCCCUUGGCCUAUGGCAGCCUCUUGGACAUAGACUAUGUAGGAAGCUAUGCCUUGUUUCCAAAGGUAGUCCUAUGGUUUGAAAGUAGCUCCCAAAAUUCAUGUGUUGAAAAUUUAAUCCCCAAUGUAAUGGUAUUGGGAAAUUGGACCUAAUAAGAAUUGAUUGGGUUAUGAGGGCUCUGCCCUCAGGAAUGGAUUAAUGGUGUUAUCACAGGAGUAGAUUAGUCAUCACAAAUGUGUGCUUCUUAUAAAAGCAAGUUUGGUCCCCUCUUGCUCUCUCCUUUGCCUUCUCUUGCUUUUCUGCCUUCCACCAUGGGAUGAUGCAGCAUGAAGACCUUACCAUAUGCAGUGCCAUGCUCUUGGGAUUCUCAGCCUCCAAAACUGUAAUCCAAAUAAACUUAUGUUAAUUAUACAUCAUCCAGUCUUGGAUAUUCUGUUAUAGCAGCAUAAAAUGGACAAAGACAGGUGGUCCAUAGCCUAUGACUAACAGAUGUGGAGGACCAAAAAUGCUUGGUCCCUGCAUUAGGUUGGCAUACUCUGUGGUACCAUUCAUGUUUCAAAGUUCCCUUUGGGGUCAGCUGAGGUUAACUUCCUCUGAAUCCACAUCUGUGCCUAGUUUAUUCAUCAGUCUGAUCCUGUUCCAUCCUUUCUGGUGAGUUCCACCUGAAAAUUCUCCCUCACAAACCCCCUUUCUUAGUCCCUGCUUUUGAGGACCCUCACCUAAAGCACUCAACAUUUCACCAAAAAGCAUAAUAUUUGCUAUAAGCCUUUGUACAUGCUGCUUAUCAAAUGAAUAACUUCUCUUCUAUUUUUAUUUUCCUGAAUAGUUCAUAUCAAGAAUGAAUAUUUUUACAAAAAUUUUCCCACAUUUAUUCAUAUGAUCAUAUGAUGUUUCUCCUUUAUUUGGUUAAUGUAGUGACUUAUGCAGAAUUGACUUAGAAUUCUUGGAACAAAUGCAACUUGGUCAUAAUUUUUUAAAAAAAUAAUUUGCUAAUCCAUUAACUUAACACUUUUUACAACUAUCAAGGCACAACCUGAUUUAGAAAAAUUCCAAAUAUAUUCAAGCCUUCCAAAGCCACUAAGCAUAAGAAUAUCACUGGCACAUUUCAUAUGCAAUGGGUUUGCGCUGUCCUAGGUCUACAAAAGGAGCAGUCCUGCCCAUGGGUUAGGGUGGAACAAGAAGGUCCAUAGCACCCAUUAUGUCUGGCUUCUAAAAUAAUUUUUUGCUUUACAUGGCAGUCAAACUCUAUGCUUUAGUCCUUGGACAGAGCCCUUUGAUGAUCAAAAUGCAUGGCUGAUAGAUGGAUUGUGAAAAUAAGGAAUAUAAAAUAAACCAGAGAACUGGUAGAGAACAGAUUUUUAAUAAAUGUUGGCUAUAAAAAUAUUUUUAUAAAGGUUCUAUCAUAGAAAACCUUCCUCAUCUUACUUUCUUCAUUUAAGAAGGGGAAGAAUAGAAGUUCAGUGGAUUAGACAAAGGUGAAUAAAGGGAAGGGAGGAGUUACAGGAAUAGGAAAGACAGCAGAAUGAACCUGACAUCACUUUCCUAUUUACGUACAUGAAUACACCACAGCAAAUCUCCACAUCAUGUACAACCAUGAGACUGGGAUCCUAAUUAGAAUAAGAUGUACUCCAUGUUUGUAUAAAUAUGUCAAAAUAUACUCUAACAACAAGUAUAACUAAAGAGAACAAAUUUUGAAAACAUGAAUUUUCAAGUAUGGAAUAAUGUCACUGGCAUUACUCAGCUUCACAUCAUUAUACCAAAGACUCAAAAUUCAACUUAUAAAGAGAAAAGUUCUAUCUUGACUCACAGUUGGCCCUUGCUUUCAGGCCUGUAGGAAGGCAACGCAUCAUGGCAGAGCCAAACCUCUUACCUCAUGACCAGGAAGCAGAAGAAAGGAAAGAGAAGGGGCUGGGUCCCAUUAUCCCCUUCAAGGGCACACUUCAGUUAUCCAAAAACCUUCUGCUAGACACUUCUUCAAGUUUCCACCACCUCCAAUAACUCCAAGCUGAGGACGGAAGUUUCUAGCACAUUAACUGUUGUGAAUCAUUUAAGACCCAAACUAUAGCGGCUACCAGAGAACCCUAAAAUACACAAGCUCUCUGGAAUGAUGAUUUUACCCUGGUCCAACUAAUUUAUUCAGUUUUUCUUGUGGCCCCUAUUCUUGAAAUGGUCAUCAGGGCUGAUGACAGCAUCUUUAGCUACAAUAUUAAAAGAUUUCCAUGUUUUUAUCUACUGCAAUUGUAUUUUUGCAUUUGCUGCUAAAUUUGAAAUGCUUUUAAGGCUGUGAAUGUAUCUUUUUUCCUGUCUUCACUAUAAAACUAUUAAAGACACAAGGAGUUGCAUCAAUUAUUAUUGAAUUAGAAACAACUAGCCCUUUAGGAUCAACCUCAGACCUUGGCUCUACUAACACUAUUCUUUCACCAAACGUGUAAUGAAGAAAGCGUCCACAGUGGCAAGGAAGACAGAAAUACUCUGCCAAAAAGUAAUCCUGAUAAACUCUGGAAUCAUCAGCUUUCUCUAAAUUUCUAUCAUCAUUCCCAUGAAUUUAUGAUGCCCAGAGCUUACUGAAUAAUUGCAACCUGAAGAUGUGCUGGUUACCUGUGAAAAAAAAAUUUAAAAAAAAAAAAACUUGUAGGUUGUCUACUGGCCAAUGACUUGCAACUUUUUUUUUCUUUUUCUUUUUCUUUUUUUGUUUCAGGAACCCUCCCAUGGCUCAAUUUAAUCAUUCCAUCAAUGAGAAAUCAUGCCCUUUGUCAGAUCAAACCACUGCCAUAGGAGAAACUGGCCUCUCCCUGACUCUCCCAGACUCAAUCUGUUCCUUCCCACACUUCAUAAACAUACCUCCCUAAACAAUCUUAUUGGUGGUACAAUUAGUAUUGAUUUGCCACGAGUAGCUUCCACUUCUUCCCACGACCCCAACUUUGCUCCAUUUUUGGAGAAAACAACCAUGAAAAAUGUCCAGUGUGCCUUGCAUUCUUGGCUCUUACUUUACACCAGUGUCCUGAUCCUAAGCAUUUUGGUUUAAACAACAGCAUAUUAAGGUACACCGCUUAAUCUUAUUUCAUAGAUCUCAGAUAUCAUUGGAAUUUAGAGCUAGAAGGAGCCUCAGUAAUUAGUCAACUCUAGCAUUUUACAAAAAUCAAACCCCAGAGUAAAUGCCUUAGCCUAGAUCUAGAGAUAUCAAGUCUGGACCCUUUCUAAUGAAUACAUGAUAUCACCCUUUAUGCAUGAACCAAAUCUGAGAAGAUGAGCAGGACAUGAAAAUGUUCCCUGGAUCAGUAUGGUCAUUUAAUUUAAUCAAGCAAGACCUCAGUCCAGGUCCCCUCCCCCUAUAGGACAGAAUAGCAGGUCAGGCCUGAACAUGGACACCUCCUAGGGAGUCCCCACCUUAUCCUGAGGGAGAAAGGGGCCCAUGCUCACUUUCAACAGAUCUCUCUCACCUGCCUGAUCCAUGGAUCUUCAUAACUGACACAUGUUAAGGUUUUAUUAGAAGAGGCCUCAAACACCUUACAAAGGAACAUUUUAGAAUCUCCCUGUGCUACUACUUGUCCUGCCCACCCCAUCCUCACACUCCGCCUCCUGGGAAUGGCUCCACAAAGAGGAGAGAGCAGAGAGUCUGGGAAGAGGGCCUGCUAAAAGCUGCUUUCCUUUCAAUAGAAAAUUAUUUGUCUAAGCACCAUGUGAAUAGAAUUUAGAAACUUGAACUUUGGGUUAUGAUCCAAUACCUGAAAUUCCUUUCAUUCCAUAAUUAAAGAUAAGGCUUUCAGUGUAAACAUAGCAGGCAUAAGCAUUCUCCAGACUCAUUAAUGCCCAUGAAGGGGAAAAAAAAAAUGACUUGACACGGAUCAUUUCUUUAAGCUGAUUUUGAAAAAGAGGAGGGAAAGGAGAGGUCAAGGGCACUAAAGGGAGAGUGAGCACAGGAUUAAGGAAGGCUGGAGGCACUGAGGAGAAACUGCCCACUUCAUCAUCUGCCCCAGUGAUGCUAGAUUUAAUUGUUUCCAGGAUCUGAUCCUCACAUUUUUUUAACCUCCUUUGUCCACAAAGCCAAGUGGUAUAGCAGAAUGAACCUGACAUCACUUUCCUAUGUACAUACAUGAAUACACAUUUUUUAAUGGACCAGGGACACCUGGUAAGUGGCAUCUACAGAGAAAGAUGAAUGGGAAAUACAUCCUUAUAAACAGGUGUACUAGAAAAGGAUUUCAAAACAUAAUGCAUUUGUGCUAUUGAUUAUUAGAUUGCCUAAUCAGGAUCAUAUUUUAUGUUAGUAUGACCCAACCAAUGGAGGAUUCAAAGUGAUAAAGGAACCAUGGAUUAAUAGAAAAUAGCAAAAUCAGUUUCCUGAACACUCAGCAGUGUUGUAUGUACUAGAAAUCAUAUCCAAAAAUUGGAAUAUAAAAUCACUAUACACAUUAAAGGAAUUUUUAUACUGGUAUAAUUGUUUCCACAAAUGGACAAGUGACAUUAGAAGCAAUGAUAAUAUUGAAGAAAUGGUAGAAUGUAGUCUCUUGGUACUUUCUGAAGAGAGGGAUGAAAGAGAGGAAGAUCAUACUCCUGUUUACAGACCUCCCUGGUUAAUGUGUAAUGGAUGAGAUGAGUGGCAGCUAAUAUUUGCCUCUCUUGUUUACUGUCUGGAUGGUGGCCAGACACCUUCCCUCUCGGCCUGCCAGUGGGUUUGGGGUUGUAAGGAACGUAAGGAAUGCAGUAAGUGGCUGAUAGGGUCUCUGUGCCACGUGUAGGCUUGCUAAAGAAGACAUUCAAGAAGACCUCCGGGGACAUCUGGUGACAUUCCCUCAGGUGGGCAUGCCUCCUUGGCACUGUGGUAAAUAGUCUCACUAAAAACAGCUGGGGUGAGCUGUGCUAAAGCAGAGCUGGGCUCAGCCCUGCCAAACUGCUCCACUGAGGAGGACAAAGAAAGGCAAAAUGUCAGGAUCCAGAGGAAGUUCUCCUUCUGUCCUAUCCCUGCUGGGAAACACAGAACAGAGUGCUCCUCUGUCUGUAACUUGUCCUGCCCUGAGCGGUACUGAGGCACGCCUGGCCCUCCUCUGCAGGCUUACAGAGAUGUGGAAGGCCUUCCUCCCCAUCCUUCCCCAUCUUCUUUCUAAAUUCUUCCCUCUUGCCUGGUGUGAUGUGGGACGAGCCAACAGACCAAGACCUUCCCCGACAAAACACAGACAGGAAUUCCAUGGAAGGUACCGUGACCAGACUGCUCCCCUGCUGAUCGUGUCUUGUCUUGUCUCUCACGUGGACCGGCGCGGUUUCACCUACAGAAACAAGAGCUCUGUGAUUCUUCCUCACGUGGCAUGGUUCUGAUGUGGGUCACAAGUGUUCCUCUUAAUAACCCCCACAACUUUCCUCAUUUCCUAAGAAAUCGAGUUCAGAAUUCUGGCAUGGGCUGAGCAGGGCUCUGUUUUGCCCCAGCUUAGCCAAGCAGUUUUGAAGUGAGACUUUUUAUCACAAUGUGAAGGAGGCACGCCCCGCUGAGUGAAAAGAGGCAGGUCUCCUUGGAGGUCUUGAAUAUCUUCUUUAGCAAGUUUACGUGUGGCACAGGGACCCUAGGGCUGGUACCAUCCUAUCUUUCCUACCUCCCCUCUCACCCCAACUUAAACUGUUUUUUUUGGGGUGGCUCUAUGCUUUCCUCCUUUUACCACAUUCACCUCCUUCUACCCACUGUCUCUCAGUGAUUGAGCAUCCUGAAUCCCAAAAGUGAACUCCAAAAUUCUCCAAAACCGGAAAUUUUUGAGUCCAACAUGAUGCCAUGAGUGGAAAACCCCACACCUGACCUCAUAUGAAAAGCUGUAGUCAAAAUGCAAGCACAGUUAAAAUAUUGUAUCAAACUACCCUGAGACUAUGUAGAGAAAGUAUGUAUAAAAUACAAAUGAAUUUUGUGUUUAGACUUGGGUCCCAUCUCCAGGAUACCUCAUUAUGUAUGUGUAAAUAUUCUAAAAUCCAAAAAAUCCAAACUCUUAAACACUCAGAAGCUUUUCAGACAAUGGAUGCUCACCUGUAUAUCUAACCCCUGCCCCACUANAGUUUUUCUUGUGGCCCCUAUUCUUGAAAUGGUCAUCAGGGCUGAUGACAGCAUCUUUAGCUACAAUAUUAAAAGAUUUACAUGUUUUUAUCUACUGCAAUUGUAUUUUUGCAUUUGCUGCUAAAUUCGAAAUGCUUUUAAGGCUGUGAAUGUAUCUUUUUUCCUGUCUUCACUAUAAAACUAUUAAAGACACAAGGAGUUGCAUCAAUUAUUACUGAAUUAGAAACAACUAGCCCUUUAGGAUCAACCUCAGACCUUGGCUCUACUAACACUAUUCUUUCACCAAACGUGUAAUGAAGAAAGCGUCCACAGUGGCAAGGAAGACAGAAAUACUCUGCCAAAAAGUAAUCCUGAUAAACUCUGGAAUCAUCAGCUUUCUCUAAAUUUCUAUCAUCAUUCCCAUGAAUUUAUGAUGCCCAGAGCUUACUGAAUAAUUGCAACCUGAAGAUGUGCUGGUUACCUGUGAAAAAAAAAUUUAAAAAAAAAAAAACUUGUAGGUUGUCUACUGGCCAAUGACUUGCAACUUUUUUUUUCUUUUUCUUUUUCUUUUUUUGUUUCAGGAACCCUCCCAUGGCUCAAUUUAAUCAUUCCAUCAAUGAGAAAUCAUGCCCUUUGUCAGAUCAAACCACUGCCAUAGGAGAAACUGGCCUCUCCCUGACUCUCCCAGACUCAAUCUGUUCCUUCCCACACUUCAUAAACAUACCUCCCUAAACAAUCUUAUUGGUGGUACAAUUAGUAUUGAUUUGCCACGAGUAGCUUCCACUUCUUCCCACGACCCCAACUUUGCUCCAUUUUUGGAGAAAACAACCAUGAAAAAUGUCCAGUGUGCCUUGCAUUCUGGGCUCUUACUUUACACCAGUGUCCUGAUCCUAAGCAUUUUGGUUUAAACAACAGCAUAUUAAGGUACACCGCUUAAUCUUAUUUCAUAGAUCUCAGAUAUCAUUGGAAUUUAGAGCUAGAAGGAGCCUCAGUAAUUAGUCAACUCUAGCAUUUUACAAAAAUCAAACCCCAGAGUAAAUGCCUUAGCCUAGAUCUAGAGAUAUCAAGUCUGGACCCUUUCUAAUGAAUACAUGAUAUCACCCUUUAUGCAUGAACCAAAUCUGAGAAGAUGAGCAGGACAUGAAAAUGUUCCCUGGAUCAGUAUGGUCAUUUAAUUUAAUCAAGCAAGACCUCAGUCCAGGUCCCCUCCCCCUAUAGGACAGAAUAGCAGGUCAGGCCUGAACAUGGACACCUCCUAGGGAGUCCCCACCUUAUCCUGAGGGAGAAAGGGGCCCAUGCUCACUUUCAACAGAUCUCUCUCACCUGCCUGAUCCAUGGAUCUUCAUAACUGACACAUGUUAAGGUUUUAUUAGAAGAGGCCUCAAACACCUUACAAAGGAACAUUUUAGAAUCUCCCUGUGCUACUACUUGUCCUUCCCACCCCAUCCUCACACUCCGCCUCCUGGGGAUGGCUCCACAAAGAGGAGAGAGCAGAGAGUCUGGGAAGAGGGCCUGCUAAAAGCUGCUUUCCUUUCAAUAGAAAAUUAUUUGUCUAAGCACCAUGUGAAUAGAAUUUAGAAACUUGAACUUUGGGUUAUGAUCCAAUACCUGAAAUUCCUUUCAUUCCAUAAUUAAAGAUAAGGCUUUCAGUGUAAACAUAGCAGGCAUAAGCAUUCUCCAGACUCAUUAAUGCCCAUGAAGGGGAAAAAAAAAUGACUUGACACGGAUCAUUUCUUUAAGCUGAUUUUGAAAAAGAGGAGGGAAAGGAGAGGUCAAGGGCACUAAAGGGAGAGUGAGCACAGGAUUAAGGAAGGCUGGAGGCACUGAGGAGAAACUGCCCACUUCAUCAUCUGCCCCAGUGAUGCUAGAUUUAAUUGUUUCCAGGAUCUGAUCCUCACAUUUUUUUAACCUCCUUUGUCCACAAAGCCAAGUGGUAUAGCAGAAUGAACCUGACAUCACUUUCCUAUGUACAUACAUGAAUACACAUUUUUUAAAGGACCAGGGACACCUGGUAAGUGGCAUCUACAGAGAAAGAUGAAUGGGAAAUACAUCCUUAUAAACAGGUGUACUAGAAAAGGAUUUCAAAACAUAAUGCAUUUGUGCUAUUGAUUAUUAGAUUGCCUAAUCAGGAUCAUAUUUUAUGAUAGUAUGACCCAACCAAUGGAGGAUUCAAAGUGAUAAAGGAACCAUGGAUUAAUAGAAAAUAGCAAAAUCAGUUUCCUGAGCACUCAGCAGUGUUGUAUGUACUAGAAAUCAUAUCCAAAAAUUGGAAUAUAAAAUCACUAUACACAUUAAAGGAAUUUUUAUACUGGUAUAAUUGUUUCCACAAAUGGACAAGUGACAUUAGAAGCAAUGAUAAUAUUGAAGAAAUGGUAGAAUGUAGUCUCUUGGUACUUUCUGAAGAGAGGGAUGAAAGAGAAGAAGAUCAUACUCCUGUUUACAGACCUCCCUGGUUAAUGUGUAAUGGAUGAGAUGAGUGGCAGCUAAUAUUUGCCUCUCUUGUUUACUGUCUGGAUGGUGGCCAGACACCUUCCCUCUCGGCCUGCCAGUGGGUUUGGGGUUGUAAGGAACGUAAGGAAUGCAGUAAGUGGCUGAUAGGGUCUCUGUGCCACGUGUAGGCUUGCUAAAGAAGACAUUCAAGAAGACCUCCGGGGACAUCUGGUGACAUUCCCUCAGGUGGGCAUGCCUCCUUGGCACUGUGGUAAAUAGUCUCACUAAAAACAGCUGGGGUGAGCUGUGCUAAAGCAGAGCUGGGCUCAGCCCUGCCAAACUGCUCCACUGAGGAGGACAAAGAAAGGCAAAAUGUCAGGAUCCAGAGGAAGUUCUCCUUCUGUCCUAUCCCUGCUGGGAAACACAGAACAGAGUGCUCCUCUGUCUGUAACUUGUCCUGCCCUGAGCGGUACUGAGGCACGCCUGGCCCUCCUCUGCAGGCUUACAGAGAUGUGGAAGGCCUUCCUCCCCAUCCUUCCCCAUCUUCUUUCUAAAUUCUUCCCUCUUGCCUGGUGUGAUGUGGGACGAGCCAACAGACCAAGACCUUCCCCGACAAAACACAGACAGGAAUUACAUGGAAGGUACCGUGACCAGACUGCUCCCCUGCUGAUCGUGUCUUGUCUUGUCUCUCACGUGGACCGGCGCGGUUUCACCUACAGAAACAAGAGCUCUGUGAUUCUUCCUCACGUGGCAUGGUUCUGAUGUGGGUCACAAGUGUUCCUCUUAAUAACCCCCACAACUUUCCUCAUUUCCUAAGAAAUCGAGUUCAGAAUUCUGGCAUGGGCUGAGCAGGGCUCUGUUUUGCCCCAGCUUAGCCAAGCAGUUUUGAAGUGAGACUUUUUAUCACAAUGUGAAGGAGGCACGCCCCGCUGAGUGAAAAGAGGCAGGUCUCCUUGGAGGUCUUGAAUAUCUUCUUUAGCAAGUUUACGUGUGGCACAGGGACCCUAGGGCUGGUACCAUCCUAUCUUUCCUACCUCCCCUCUCACCCCAACUUAAACUGUUUUUUUUGGGGUGGCUCUAUGCUUUCCUCCUUUUACCACAUUCACCUCCUUCUACCCACUGUCUCUCAGUGAUUGAGCAUCCUGAAUCCCAAAAGUGAACUCCAAAAUUCUCCAAAACCGGAAAUUUUUGAGUCCAACAUGAUGCCAUGAGUGGAAAACCCCACACCUGACCUCAUAUGAAAAGCUGUAGUCAAAAUGCAAGCACAGUUAAAAUAUUGUAUCAAACUACCCUGAGACUAUGUAGAGAAAGUAUGUAUAAAAUACAAAUGAAUUUUGUGUUUAGACUUGGGUCCCAUCUCCAGGAUACCUCAUUAUGUAUGUGUAAAUAUUCUAAAAUCCAAAAAAUCCAAACUCUUAAACACUCAGAAGCUUUUCAGACAAUGGAUGCUCACCUGUAUAUCUAACCCCUGCCCCACUAAUAUAAACUCCCACACGGUUGGUACUUUCCCUUCAGAGUACUCAUCCCUACCAUUAUUAAAUAAUCAUUUGUGUAUCAUCAGUGCAGUGGCUUUCUCCCUUGCUAGGCAAUAGGUUCCCUAAAGACAAAGGAUUGCACAUAUGGUAUUCUUUGAGGUAUAUCCAGCAGCCUGCCUGUAGUAGUUGCUUAGGUUAUCAAUGAAUGGCACCCCACCUCCAGCCUCUCCUAAAGGAUAGGCUUUUGUUAGCAAUUAUCUGAGGCAAUAGGGAAACUUUGUGCUUCCUAUUCUCAACAUCAUUCUCCACAAUCCAUCAUCAUCAUCUGAAUCCUGGUCUUAUCUCUCCUGCUGCUCCAAGGCUCCUUAGAUAAGGGACUCUCAUUUAUUUUUUUGCAUGGUUCACAACUCUGGACACCAAAUUUUGCCUAGCUGAGACUCAAAAAUUCAUUGGUUCCUGAAGAACCAAUGAAAGGAAAAGAAACCACAGAAACCAAAGCUGGGUGUGUAAAGGGUUAUUUAUUUAUUUAUUUGCUUUCCACAGACCCUCAUAAUGCACAUAUAUCACCUUUUCUGUCGUAGAGUAAGAAAUUUAAAAAAUUUCCCCAGCCCAUAACUUUUUCCAUCAUUUCAGACUUCCAGCAGUACUAUACAGGCUCCUUCUGGGGCAUUCCAUUCCGAUCUGCAGUCUUGAGUUUUAUAUAUAAAGGCAGGGCAUGAAGGAGUUCUAUGUUUUUGAUCAGAGACAGCAGAAGAGGUAAGAGACUUGAGCAAUGGGGAAAAGGACACAGCAAGAAAAAAAAAAAAACUUGCAACAUGUGGUUGGGGAGAAAACAUUGAGAGUUCUAACAAACUCAAUAGAGUGAUAGACUCUGAGCUGAACUCUUUAUUCUAUAUAUACUCUGAGGCCUUGGGAAAGUCACUUAGCUCCCUGGAUCUAUUUUCUGAUGGGCAAAACGGCAUUAAUGAUGCCUCUUUCUGAUCAUUUAGGGGAUUAAUAUGAUAAUGUCCAAAAUUGCUCUGUCAAUUCAAAAAGGUUUAUGCAAACCAUUCCCUACAUGGUGGGUGAAGAUGGAGAGCUGGAGGGAGUCAUCUGUAUGGGGUUUGGGGGUUGAUUAGCAGAAGCUUAUAUUCUGUCUGUAGAAUUAAGAGUCUGUUUAGAACCCUGGGGAACCCAAAGUCUGAAUGAGGAGAUAACCAGAGUUUGAGAAAGGCACUGGGGAGAUGGGGGGAAAGAAGCAACUCAAUUGGGUAUGAAUGAAGCAUAAAAUACACAGAGUGUUAAGGUCAGACCCAGAGCUUCUUGCUUAGAGGCAGGUGACAGGGGAAAGAGGAAGGAGGAGAGUUGAGCACUGACAGGCUGAAGUGAGGAGAGGGAGGUUGGUUGUUCUGCUGGAGAUACAAGAUCUAUGUAACGAGAGAAGCUUGAAAAGAAGAAAUCAGGAUCCCAUCAAAGCAGGUUUCAAAGGACAGAGAAAGCUUUGCCACAGAAAAUGAACCUGGAGCAGGAGACACAAAGAGGUAGCAGUUGGGCAUAGUGGUACACACCUGUAAUCCCAGCAACUCAGGAGGCUGAUGCAGGAGGAUUACAAGUUCAAAGCCAGCCAAUUUAGCAAGGCCCUGAGCAACUUAGCAAGACCCUGUCUCAAAAUAAUAAAAAUGAAAAGGACUGGGGAUGUGGCUCAGUGGUUAAGCAACCCUGGGUUUAAUCCCUGGUACAAAAAAAAAAAAAUGUGGGACAAAGUCUCUCCAAGGAGAGUCUACGCUCUGCUGAGAUUACAUAGGAGGAUGGGCAAGGCAUUCCUGAAGAACCAAUGAAAGGAAAAGAAACCACAGAAACCAAAGCUGGGGAAAGUGCCCGAGCUAGGCUGUCUGCUGAGACAACAAUCCCUUUUCUUCUUCCUGGACACACAGCCAACUGCAUGUCUUAGGCUCCCUUGAAGUAAGGUGUGGCCCCAAGACAGAGUUGUAGCCAAAGCAAUGUGAACAGAAUGUUAGGAGAUGGUCAUUUCCAGAGCAGGCCCAAGUGAACUUCCAGCUGUCUUUCUCCAGACUCUUCCUGUUCCGAGGUGGGUUCUCAUGCCCUCUGUAACUUUGGAAGCCAAAUGUUGAAGAUGAUGGAGCAACAAGUCAAAAAGACCUUAGGUUCAAAGGUCACCCCUGGAAGACAGAACCCUAUCAAUCAGCACAUCCACAUUCAGAACAAAAUAAUUCUUUUGUGUUCAAGCCAUGUACACGUAGGGGUGAGUAUAUUACAGCAGCUAUCGUUACCUCAAUUAGCUCAGCACGAGGAGUCUGGGAAUGACCAGGAGCCCACUGGCUGCAUUUUAAAAUCAUUUAAGUGAGAAUUGCAUGAGAUGAUGUGAAAAAAACCUGUGCACCUCAUGACCUGCCUGAUUCCUGUCCACGCUUGCUUAGUGGCUCCCAUCUACUCUUUAGCCAUGGUAUUUUAACCUUAAAUUGGCUUCUAUUUAUAGCCACAAAAGAAAAAUACCAAUCAGAUGUCUAUAAAAGGUUUUUCCAAAACUCCAAGUUCUUUCUCUUGCUUUCUCUUUUUUUCCCACCAAAAUAAUUUUUAAUUGUUUAAUGUGGGAAAAUAUUUUAUGGGAAUUGCAUUCCUUUCUGAGCCACUGCCUAGGCAAUUUAAAAAUAAACAAUAGACAAAGACAAGCAUUAACUUGGGGGGGGGGGACUUUUUAUAAUUACCUUCAGGAUUGAUUCAGGAUUGGCUAAGAAUAUAAAAGGAGUUUGAAGAUUGGUGGCCAUCCAGGCUAUAGGAAAAAAGCAAUUAGCUUUCUUUUCUUCUUCUCCUCAACAGGUAAGUUCCAAAUACAGACAAUGCCUAAUUCAUUCCUGUUAGUUCUAGUAUUGCUAAAAUGUUCUUAGAUGCUCACAUAAGUUAUUGACCAACCAGUGGAGAUACUGAGGGUUGUUUUGCAGAGACUCUGAAGACAUUCAAGCAAAGGCAAGGUGUAAACAGGAUUUAUUGUAAUUACUAUUAUUAUUUUUUAUUGUUUUAAGCAGAUAGUCCUAUCUAAGACAUGCAAACUUAGCUUUUGAGUUUUGGUCAUAAACCUCUGGGCACUUUUCUAGUCCUUGUAAUAUAGUGCCAAUGAGAGAUUAAGCUAGAAAAUAAAUCUACAAAUGAGUAGCUGUCUUAUAAUUAGUAAGCACUCUCCUUCAUAUAAAAUUCCAUGCCAGUGUCUAAUAGCCACACUUUAUACUCACCUAAAGCCUUUCAUCUGAAAUGCUCAAAGCGCUUCUUGUUAAUACCAGUGCUAAUUCUCUCAAAAUUCCUGUAAGUCAGGGAGCUAGAAUACCCAUCCUUAAGGCACCUUGGCCAUUGCUGAAGUUGGAGCCUUUCUGUCUCUGACCCACGUAGUUGUGGGUGGCACCCCUUCCCCAGGUUGUUGCCCCACCCCCAGCCCAAUGAAAAGCAGAAGGGAUUCUAUCAGGGCAGGAAAUUCGAGUUGCAGCCACAUGGGAGGCAGUCAUAUAAAAGGAAGCUCAGCCCUUUGAAUUAGACUGACUAUAUAACCUGGCUCUGAUGUUUAAACAAAUUAUCCAAACUUUCUGAGCUUUAAUUUGCUCCUCUACGAUCAAGAAUGUAAAAUAAUACUAUGGUUAUCCACACACAUUAAGCAGCCAAUAAAUACUUGCUUUAGGGUAUUUACAUCCUUAAUUUCACUGGAUCUUUGGAACUAACCUGUAUUGUAUCUGGUUGAAGUUCUGCCACAGUCUGGAGGGGCACAAAAUAACUGAGCCGCCACACAGCCUUGUAGGUUCAAAACAGGAACUCCUUUAUUCUCCACACCCCCGCGAACUCCUCGCACUCGGCCUUCUCCCCGGACAUACACCACACACCAACUGGAAAUCCCUCCUCCCGAAAUCCCUCCUCCAGCACUUCCCCAACCAAUGGGAACUCUCCAGGGAUUCCUGUGAGAACUCCAAAGUAGCAGGCUGAGGCGGACAGCAGGGGUCUAAUAUACAAUUGAAUACACAGCUUAACAUAACCAUUAUCAUCAAUAGCUUGUGGCGUCACCUCUCAACCACUCCAUUCUGGCAAAAAUGCCAUGCAUCAUUCCGACUAGGCUAUGGCUCUCAGCAAAGUUCUACUUGGGAAUACUGCCCAUAGUAGACAUUCAAUAAAUAUUAGUGGAGUUGUCUUCUUUAGAAGAAUUCUAUCUCCAAUGCUCAUGCUACCCAAGCCAACUUAGGUUUUCCAUAAGAAUAGCUCCAAUUUUUCCCAAAUAAAUGUGAAUCUCUGGAUGUAAAACAUUUAUUUAAGCACAAUUAUAAUCCUCUUUCUUCAAUAACCUGGGUUGAUUUGCUAAAUCUCCCCAAGUUCUAUAUUUAUUACCAAAGAAGAAUAUUGUUAUGGAUUAAAUCACUUUGUUAAAUACCAGAUAAUAAAUUAUUCAUUAUAGGGAUUUGUUAAAAAGAUUUGAUCUAUAAAAUUAUCUUAUAUAUACUCUAAUGUAUUAAUUAUAGUUUAUGGAUUUGUGUGAAUUAUUUUUUAGAAAGUAAUCUUUUACUCCUUUCAACUAUUUAAAGACAAAAUAGUAUACUUUGGAUUUUAAGUGUCACAAUUUUACUAGAUUUUUCAUUCCUCUACCAAAAAUCUAGCCAAGUCACCCAUCAAGGAGUCCCCAUUUUCUGGAUUUGAUAAUAAAAAUACAUUUGUGAAUUUGCUUAGAGGGCCAUGAUAGUGAUAUGGUAUUUACUCAGGACUUAAUUGUCUAAUGACCUUGGCUGGUUCAAAACAUUGUAAUAACUAAAAGGUAAGAACAAGAUUGGAGAAGAGAAGCUUCCAAGUAAGCAAAAUAGAUAUUAAAAUGUCAAACACUUAUGUCUAGUGGCUGUGAAUUUCAGGGAUAAGAGAUCUUGCAGGAUGUGACUCAAAGCUAAGUUACUCCUACUUGGUCCACAGUUCUAACAAGUUUUCUCCAUUGUGGGCAGAUGAAAAGCAGCAGGCCAGAAAUGUGUAGACAUUAGAGAGAUAAAGAUUUCUUACAGCCUUCAACCUGUAAGCCUCGAAGGCAAAGCUUUGUGUCAACUCUUUGUCUGGCACUCGAGCAGAUAUGAAGGACAGGAAAGUCACCAUCACUGCCCUUGCCUCCCACGGUCACGCUUCAAUUGGAUGCAGAAAAGAGCAACACACUACAAACAAUCCGGCAACAAAUAAAUUGUGUGCUACCUGCCAUAAAAAACAUUCAGAGAAGGAGGAAACCAGUCUGGGAGACACUAGGGGAGAUUUUACUGGACCGAAUCUUUUGAAAAUUCCUAAUUACAACAGGCUCUAAGUCUUAAAAAAGCAUUUGAAAAGUGAUGCCUGAAAUCAUUGUGGGAAACAUUUCUAUUUGACCCAAGACCAAUUUUGAAACAAUCACAUUUUAUUUGAUCAGAUGAUAAGUUAGUUGAGAGUGGGACCUGUCAGAACCUAUUCCCUUCUCCCCCAGAGCAGAAAGCUGUGCUGUGACAGAACAGCCACAAAACAAACAUGUAGCAAUUUAACUUUUCAAGUGAGACCAGAGUAACAUACUGUGUUAUCACAUUAAACUGAAAUUUAAAUGAGAAAACACAAAAUUGGUUAUGAACUCAAGUAGGCAGGGAAAUACCUAACAGGUUGAAAGAAAAGGUGGUAAAUACAAGUUGCUCAGAAGAGAAGAUGAACAGGGAGUUUUAGGAAACUCCAGAUGUCUAAAACAUAAUGAGAACUACUUCACACAUACCUGGAGUAAAGUGGAAUUAACUUAAGGUGUAAAAGGAAAGGUUUAAAGAGCAGGUAUUUGGAAUGUGUUCUUGAAUUACAUUGUGUUUCUGUUUGUCUUGGUUUUGCCUAAAGUCUUCCUUUUUUAUGCUCCUCUUUAAAUAGUUUGGGUGAAAGGGGUGAGGGCAGAGUCAUGGGAUCAGUGACCUGUUUCUUAGUCCUGGUUUGGACUUGUGUAGGACGUGCCCCCUGACCCAGUCAGCUCUGCCAGUCCACAGGAGCACCCAUUUAUUCCAAGGAGCAUCUUUUCUUAAGCUGGUCCAUGUUGGUUUUCAUCUGUAAUCAGGAUUCUGAACAAGAACUUCACAAACACUCUGUUCAUGACCCAGGUUGGGAAAAAGAGUCAACCCUGUGGAGAAUCAGUGCAAAACAGUGAUGAUAAGACCAUGAACCAAAGGAGAAUACCACACACCAAACUCCUUGGAGACAGACAGAAACUGGCUUAGUGUAAUUCGAAAGGCCUCAAGGUAAUCCCCCAAAUCUCUCUCCCCGCAACUAGAAAAACAAUGUGGUAUAGUGAAGAGAGGACUGGGCUGAGCCUGAAAGGGGCCAAGUUCAAAUCCUGGCUCUGCCAUUUACUGUCUGUGUAAGCUUGAGCCAUUUAUUUAGCCUUUCUGGGAUUCAGUUUCCUCAUCAAUAAAAUGGGGAAAAUGCCACCAAUAAUAUAAGGAUGUUCUGAGGGCUAAACAACAUAUCUUAAGUCCCUAGUGCAAUAGAAGUCACAGAGCCAUAGUACAUGCUCAGUAUAUGGUAGCUUCCAUUAUUUCUAUGGCUGGUCUUUCUAUUUCACCACAUUGAUCUGCCUUUGGCCUAGCACACCAUUUUGUAAGUAGAACUAGAGAAGUAGUUGCUCCAAACAGCCAUAGAGCAAAACACAGGUAAGUUAUCCUCUAUUCCUGGAACUAAAAAUCUUUAUAGGCAAAUCCACAACUAGCUUUGUCACCCUAGGAAAGAAAGUUAUCAGGGAAGCACAUGAGAGGGUGGUUUGGAGAAAAUUAAAUCACUUCAGCAGAAUUCGAGGUAUAAAAUUUAGCAAGAGGGAAAAAUGAUGUUCUAAUUGCUCACUGUAACAGAAUAUGGAGGUUUUGCAUAUAUACUAAAGAGCAUUUUAAGAAUAACUAUUGUUGACAUGAACAUCUUUGGACAAAACCAAAAGGGCUUUGACUCCAUCCCAACAUAGAAGACACAAGAAAGGACAAUCACAACUGGUGUAGCAGAAGCACAGGAUUCUCACCCUGAGACGACCUGUUGUGGGGGGGUGCUUCAGCUUGUCAUUGUCAGCUGCCCAGUUAACUGCCCUUGGAAGAAAGAUCUGACCCAGAUGGAGUCAUUGAGCAUGAAUGCCUUACUGAGCAAGCAGGGCCCUGUAGGACCAGGCCUGCUAUGCUUCUAUAAUGAAUUGCUUUUGAUGGCAGAAACGGAAACAAACCAAAAUCUUAACUGCCCACAAACAUAAGUGGGUCCCCCUAGUCCCAAGGCUAGGACUGGAGUGAAAGCUAGUAAAACUAAUUAGAGCUGUCUUGGAUCAUUCAGAAAAAAAAAAAUGAUAAAAAUGAGUUCUAAAAAUUGGGAGUGGGACCUGUCCUGAUUUGGCAAGAAAGAAGAUAGAAGGGUCUGGAAGCAAAGAAUGAUACUUUUGUUUCUAAAGAAUGGAAGUAAAAACAGGCAAAGCAAGUCCAGGAUGCUUUUUUCUGAGCUUAAGGGACUCAGACAAAACUAACCAGAUUUAAUAGUUCACUCUGGUUCCCAGGACAUAGAGUCUUAGGUCUUCCUCCAGAGCUGUUAAGGUCAGAUUUUGUUUUUGUUUUUGUUUUUGCCUCUGUGACCAAAAAGAUCUGAUAAAAACACAAUUAGAGGAGGAAAUGUUUAUUUGGAGGCUCAUGGUUUCAGAGGUCUCAGUUCAUAGAUAGCUGACUCAAUUCCUCAGGACCGAGAUGAGGCAGAACAUCAUGGCAGAAGUGUGUGGUCGAGGAAAGCAGCUGGGGACAUGGCACCAGGAAGCAAAGAGGGAGAGAAACUCCACUCACCAGGGACAAAAUAUAUACUCCAAAGGCAAGACCCCAGUGACCCACCUCGUCUAGCCACCCCCUACCUGCUUACAGUUAUCACCCAGUUAAUCCCUAUCAGUGGAUAAAUUCACUGAUUAAGUCACGGUUCUCAUAAACCCAGUCACCUCACCUCUAAACCCUCUUGCAUUGUCUCACACUUGAGCUUUGGGGGGACACCUCAUAUCUAAACCAUAUCAAGAAUUUAAGGAACCUGGAUAGAAUUAACUAAAGAUAACAGCUCACCCUACUUCCCAAGACUUGGAGUCUCAGUCCAGUGACUUCCAGCCCCCUGUUGAACACAAAUAUAAAACAACAGCCAAUACCUAAUGAUUAUCUUUCCCUCUACUCAACAAAGGCAGUAUAAAACAAUAAAAUUCCUAAUAAUAAACUAACAAUAUAUGUUGCACGCAAGUGGCUAUUUGCAAAUGUGUCCUAGAUCAAAGAUCGCAGAGAAUUCUUUUUGUUGUUUGGUCUUCCUGUAGACGGGAAGGCAAAAUCGGGUUUCCCAGCCAUGUGUACUUACUUGUUGCUUAAAGAAGCACGUAACCCAUUAGAACUUCUUGAUGACUUGUGAGACCAAGGAUGUGGUUUCCAUUAUCUAAUAAAUGAUAAGUAGGGAAUAAGCAUAGUUGGUUUACAUUAGAGCCUAAGUGGAGAUGAUAUUGCUGUAAAUAUUUAUUAUAAUUUUCUAAAAAUACUCAUGUAUGUGUCUGCCAUAUAAGAAAAAUGCUUCUUAGGAUACUAAAAAAAAAAAAAGUGGCAUAAAAGAUUGGCGAGACAUCUGGUCUAUCAGAGUUUACAAUCUAGGAAAAAUGAUGUGAACUUAGCGUUAUAACAACAACUAUAACUUAAAUAUUUGCCAUAUGCAAAAUGCUACAUACACAUUAUUUUACUUAAUCCUCACAAGAACCCCAUGAAACAAUCAAAUUUUCUCAAUUUUGCUGAGAAUCAGAAAGAUAAAGUAACUUGCCUAAACUCGCACGAGGAAAAGAAGAAUGUCUAUUGUUUCAUUUAUUUAUUUAUUUAUUUAUAUUUGUCAACACGAACCCUUCUUCUUUUGAGGAUCGGGUCUUCAAUAUCACACACACACACACACACUCAGAUACACACACACAUCACACUCCCAUUGUGUGCUUCUGUUGGGCCAGUCACACUGCAUUCCUGCUCAUGUGAUACAAAUCAAACCAAUCAGUUCUUCCAUGGUAUCUUCAAAUGGAACUAAGGGGAGAAUGCUCCUUCCUUCUUACCCUCUAGUGAAAUGAAACUGAGAAAUGUGAACUUUGAAGCUUCCAGAAGACAUACCUCCAGCCUCUUGUCAGAUGCUAGUCUGAGGAAAUAAAGUCAGUAUGGAGAAAUAAAUAGAAAAAGAGAUUUUUUUUUUUUAAAAAAAAGCACCUGUGACUUCAGUGACUAUGGUUCCAUUCAAUGGUUUGCUGGUAAAUGUUUAACAACCAACUCUCCAAGUGUAGUUCCUUUUUGUUUAUUUGCAUGUUUGGUACCAGAGAUCAAAACCAGGGCCAUUUAACCACUGAACCACAUCCCCAGCCUUUUUAUUUUGAGACAGGGCCUUAUUAAGUGGCUCAGGGUGGCCUCGAACUUUGCAAUCCUUCUGCCUUAGCCUCUUGAGCUGCUGAGAUUACAGGAGUACACCACCACACCUAGUCCAAGUAUAGUUCUGACAUGAAUGUUGGUCAGCAAUUUAAAAAAAAAAAUUUUUAAUUUUAUUUGUUCUUUUUAGAUAUAUAUGACAGUAGAAUGUAUUUUGGCAUAUUAUACAUACAUGGAGUAUAAUUUAUUCUAAUUAGGAUCUUAUUCUUGUAGUAUUACAUGAUGUGGAAUUACCCUGGUCAUUUAUUCAAGGAUAGGAAAGUUAUGUCUGAUUAAUUCUAUUGACCUUCCUAUUUCCCUCCCCCUCUUCCCUUUGUUCCCCUUUGUCUAAUCCAAUGAACUUCUAUUAUUCUCCUCCUCAUCCUCCCUUAUUGUGGGUUAGCAUCCACAUAUCAGAGAGAACAUUUGGCCUUUGGUUUAGGGGGACUGGAUUAUUUCACUUAGCAUGAUAGUUUCUAGUUCCAGACAUUUACCAGCAAAUGCCAUAAUUUCAUUCUUCUUUAUGGCUGAGUAAUAUUCCAUUGUGUAUAUAUACCACAGUUUCUUUAUCUACUCAUCUGUUGUAGGGCACCUAGGUCGGUUCUAUAGCUUGACUAUUGUAAAUUGAGCUGCUAUUGAUGUGGCUGCAUUACUGUAGUAUGCUGAUUUUAAGUCCUUUGGGUGUAGACCAAGGAGUGGGAUAGCUGGGUCAAAUGGUGGUUCCAUUCCAAGUUUUCUGAGGAAUCUCCACACUGCUUUCCAGAGUGGUUGUGAAGCCAGAUUUAAAGUUAGGUAGUCCUCUUCAAGCAAACUUGAAGAUGCUGACUUGGAAGUGCCCAGAUUACUUCUUUGGCCCACCUUUGUCCCACCCCUCGGGCCUUCCCACCUACAUUCCAUCACCCAAAACUAUAAAAUGGAGAGACAACCGCACUUCCAUGGAUUCCACCUCUUGGGUCCCCUUCUUCCUCUGGGAGAAGUCUUUUCUGCUGUCCUUUAAUAAACUUCUAAUUUCUACUCUGACCUUGCCUAGGCAUGCUUCUCUGGUUAUUCUUCAACAUUGGGGAAGCAAGGACUCGUCACCGGUCAACAGCAGUAACAGUUGCACCAAUUUGCAGUCCCACCAAUAAUGAAUGUAUGAGAGUACCUUUUCCCCCACAUCCUCACCAACAUUUAUUGUUACUUGUAUUAUUUAUAAUUGCCAUUCUGACUAGAGUGAGAUGGAAUCUGAGUAUAGUUUUAAUUUGCAUUUCCCUAAUUGGUUAGCAAUUUUCUUUAUGUAAGAUGAAAGGGAAUCAGCAAAGACAUUGGUAGAAUUUUACUCAUUUUUUAAUGGUAUAACUGACUUCUUUGGUAAAUCAGUUAAUAGUUUUAAAAAAACAGACAUUUUUCUCAAUUUUUGGAUAUUAUUCACAAAGUAACAAGUAUAGAUGUAUACACAUUUUCAAGUUUAAUUUGCAUUGUCAACAUUUUUUCAUCGCUUUCUUAAGUCUAGACUCUAGGGAAUCAACAAAAGAUCAAGUCCUGAUUUGUAGCAUUUGUCAAUCUCUACAGUGUGAAUGCUUCUGCCUUGACCAACGUCAAACUUCCAAAAUGACAUCAUUGGUGUUGGGGAGAGAUGAGCAAAUCAUAUUGUGUUUUCACCCUACAGACACCACAGAUAUAAAGAUUCACACAUGUAGGAGAGAGAAAAAUGCAGUAAAGUCAUGAGGAAAUGAUAAGAUUUUAGAAUUUAUUACCUUUGCAUCUAAUAUAAUUUUUAAUCAUGACCUUAUAAUUUAAUUUUUAGUAAUGGUUGUGUUUAACAACCGACUCACAAAGUCACUGAAAACCUGGACAAGUGGCUUUCAAGAAUCAACAUGAUCCAAAUACAAUACAUCAUAGGUUUCCCCUGAUCCCUGGGUCCUACCUAUAUUUCCCACCCUAAUUCCAGGAGCAAAACAAAACAAAACAGAACAAAAAAAUACCAAAUUUCUCUCACCUACAGAGUGUCUUCUCAGUCACUUGCAACUUAAAAGAAUCCUGGCUCACUCAAGGGGACCCUUAUACCUAGAGUGGACAGGGUGGGCUUCUUCCACAAGGCAGGUUGAGGCUCCCAGCUUUGAAGGCCAAUUUCCAGCCUACUUAGCUGCAUUUAAAACAAAAACAAAAACUGUGCUUUCCGCCUUAGGAAAUACAAUGUUCAGCUACGGAAAGCCUGGCCAUGCCACAUGAUGGUCCCUUUAAAUGUCUUCCUAGAUGAGGAAUGUUUAAUCAGCUGAGCAGAGCCUCCAGCCCUGCAGGAGCCUGGAGGAUGUUAGCAGCUCCCAGCCGCUUGCUCCCAGGAGCCCAGCAUCAUUUUAUGCAACCGCACAGGGUGGAGACCAACCUUCUCCCUGGAGAGGAAGUGGCUGCAGGAAUACCAGAUGUGGCAUUCCCACAGCAGCUGGUGGAGGGGCCCCUGUCUCCCAGGGUGAGGAGCUCCACAGAGACCCAGCCCCGGAAGUUUGCAGAGUUUCCACAAGCAGGGAGAACCCAAGCUGCAUGGGGCCAGAGGCAACAGGGGAUGGUAAACAGAACACUAUUUGGGACUGAUUCUCCCACCCACUGCCUUUGUUUCCGUCCACCAGUGUUGGGAAACCUGUUUAAAGAGUUAUUCCAAGUAUUUUUUCAAGCCUCUAAUCUGUCUUCAAAAAUAUUCUGGAGGAGGAAGCAAAGAUUGUUUGCUGCGGUAGAUGAGGGUAGAAAUGGCCAGGAAAAAUCUCCCCAGAAUACCUAAGUAAGAACCACGAGGGAGGGUCAGGGGAGCAUGGACAGAAGCCAGCCGCGGCUACUGGAGUGCAGUUCUCUGCUUGUCCUGCAGAUUUUUAAAUAGGGGGCAACUGAAGUCCAUUGCUCUGUGUGAAAGCUGGGGGGUGGGGGUGAAGUGGAGGGAAAGGGGAGGUGGGGUUGCUAUAGAUGGUUGGAAAGGGUGAGAGGGCUGCAGGUGGGGGACCCAGGGAAAUGGAGUGUGCGGUUCAUCUUAAAUCUUGUUUACUGUACGUAUUCUUGGGUGGGGGGGGUGAGCUGGACCCCUUAGUCCCCACAUCCAAAGUUGAUUAAAACCCUGAAGUUUUCCAUAAUUGGACCUCAUUAAUAAAUUCCUCAGGGUACCAGGAGGCUCUGAAGAGGUAAAAUAAGGGUUUGGAGAGAUGAGAGCAACAGGAGGUUGUAAGACCCCAGACUGUGGAGUUAAUUCCACUUAAUCAGCUUGGACAAACUCCAUGUUCACAACAAGCCCCAGGAGUCCCUGAGCCUCCAGCCCCCGCCCUCUUCAGCAGGGCAAGAUUUUCUGGCAUUCACUUCUCCCUUACUUUUUAACCUGUUUCCAACGUGGUAACAUACUGCCCCAUGUUUUAAGAACAUGGGGCUGCUCUUUCCUGAGGACUCUCAAGGUUCCUAAGCUAAAUGUGAUGGCAGCAGCUUGGAGAAGGACAGGCAGCACUUCGAGCCUCCUCUCUUCCCUUUACCAUCCACCAGCACAUACCACACCCCUGCCCCAAACUUCUCCCCUCUCACCUUCAAGAACAUCUGUGUUCAGUUGUUAGUUGGACCCCAGACUCACACACAGUCCCUGUACAGGUUAUUAUUAAUGUGCUAACUUGACUUGGCUAAGGGAUGCCCAGAGAGUUGGCAAAGCCUUACUUCCGGCCGUGUCUGUGAGGGUGUGUGGAAGAGAUUUGAAUUGGUAGACAUGGUAGAGAAGAUCAUUCUCACCAACAUGGGCUGGCAUCAUCCAAUCCCUUGAGGGUCAAAGAGAACAAAAAAGGAGAGAAUUCACUCUCUCUGCUUGAGUGGAACAUCUGUCCUCUCCUGCCUUCAGACAUUGGCCUUCUGAUGCUUAGGCCUUUGACUCAAACUGGGACUUACACAAAUGCCCCCUCCCGUUUCUCAGGCCUCUGAAUUUGAGGUGGAACUACCACACCGGCUUCACUGCUUCUGCAGUUUGCAAUGGCAGCUCAUGGAACUCUUUAGCCUUCCUAAUUGUGGGAACCAGUUUGCAUAAUAAACCUCUUUCUAUCGAUCUUUAUAUUUGCCAUCAGUUGUGUUUCUUUGGAUAUCUCUAAUACAAUCCCAAAUCUUAAAGUAAGACAUCAGCAUUAACUUGUUAUCAUUUCGAGUCUUCAUAAGUUAGCAAAUAGAGGCAAGUUUUAGGGGUUAUUAGUUUUCAUUUUUUUCUUUCUUUCUUUUUCUCCUUUUUUGUACUAGGGAUUGAACACAGGGCCUUGCAUCAUGUUAAGCAAGUGCUCUACCACUGAGCUACUUCCCCAGCCUUUUAUUUUAUUUUGAGAUAAGGUCUCACUAAUUUGCCCAAGCUGGUCUUGAGCUUACCAUCCUGCUGUCUCAGCCUCUUAAGUAGCUGGGAUUAAAGGUGUGCACCACCAUGCCCACCAGUGGUCAUCUUUAGUGUGGAGCUUACUUGGUUAAUAUGGUUAGCACAGUACCCUAUUGUUUUUCUCUAAUAGAAGUGAAAAUGAGCUGCAAAAUAUCCAAGGAUCAGAUACCUAGGAAAAACAAGAAGCAAAGGGCCUCAGGGAUGUCCAAAUUGGGAAGCUAAUCUCUGAGUAAAAAAGAUCAAGGGUCAAGUGGAGGAUUUUUCCUGGACUCCAAGUGGCUUGUUCUCAUAACAUCUAUCUAUAUCUUACAAAUGUCUCCUUCCUUUUCUGGGAAUUUCAGUGAGAAAGGUUAUGUAGCAAGACUAUCAGGCAUAGAAACAGCCUCCAGUUCAACCUCCAUCUCCAAGAAUUAUCAACCUUCAUUUAUAUGGACUACAAUGUCACUAGUUCUUGGUGUAGGACUCACUCCAGGUCAAGGAUAGAACAAAAUAGCAGAUGACUGUGGUGGAGGAAAGCAGGUCAGGUAAUGGCCAUUAAGAAACAGAGAAAGAAAGAAAGAGAGAGAGCUCCACUUUCCAGGGACAACAUUUGUAUCCUAAAGGCACACCCCCAAUGACCCACCUCCUCCAGCCACUGCUAUCUGCCUACAGUUACCACCCAGUUAAUCCCUGGGAGGGAUUAAUGCUGAGUGGGUUGAGGUUCUCAUAACCCGAUGAUUUCACUCUGAACUUUCUUGAAUUGUCUCAAACAUGAGCUUUUGAGGGAUGCCUCAUAUCUAAACCAUAACAAUAGGCUAACACAUUGAUGAUUUUUAAUUUGGGGGGGGGAGGCGAAAGAAAUUGAUAAAGGUCUGAUUGUAGGUGAGAAAAGAGAAAGGUUUUUUUUAAAUCUAAAAUUAAUUUUUCUGAAAACUGGGUCUGAUUCAUCCUAUUUUUUUACCAGAUCUAUUUUUAGAAACAUUUACUUUUAAACUAAUAAAUGAAUUAAACUGUAGCCAUAGCUGCUGUCUGAUAACUCUUUCCUGGUGAAAGAACAUAGUCUUUCCCCCAAACAAAUACAGUCUUCACAUAACCAGAACUGAUAAACCAAUCCUCAAAUUGAGAGACACCUUCAGUAAAUGGAAAAGCUGUAUAUCAAAAUAGUUGAUAAAGGCAAAUUUUUAUCUGUAAAAGGCAACUUUUUCAGUAAUGUAUUUAAAGAGUUCAGAAGGGUUGGGCAAUGAAGGGAGAAUUUGAAGUAAGUAGCUGCUGCUUCAUCCAGUUCUCCUGUGGGGUACUGGCCAGUGUGGGACCAGAUGAAUGGGCAAGGUGGGUGGACUUAGGUGGCCCUUGCUGCUAUGGCAUAAACUGGCCCAGCUCAACUGCAUGACAUUCUGGAAAAGUUAAAACUCUGCAGACAAUAAAACAUUAAUUGUUGCCAGUAGAAAGGGUGAGGGAGGAAUUGAAUAGGCAAAGGACCGGGGAUUUUGAGAGUACUGAAACUCCUCUGUAUGAUAUUGUAAUGUUGGACACAUGUCAUUAAACAUUUGUUCAAACCCAUAAAAUAACACAACUCCAAGGGUGAACUGUGAUGUGAACUGGGUGUUAAUGAGCUAUCCAUGUAGAAUCAUCAAUCAUGACAAAUGUACUACUCUGGAGAGAGAUGUUGAUGAGGAAAGCUGUGUGUGUGUGUGUGUGUGUGUGUGUGUGUGUGAACUCUCUGUGUUUUACCCUAAAAAAACAAAAGUCCUGGCCCAGGCAUUGAUCUGGAUUCCCAGGGGCGAAGGAAAGUGCCAUCCUCUUAUGUCUUACCUGCUGUCUACAGCAGAACACUUUUCACCCAUAACUGGCCCCUUUAGGGCUUAGCCAGGUUCCUCGUAGAAUCUGGGAGUUGAAGAGGAAUUACUUUUCUAUUCCAUAUAUAAGUCGGAAUUUUAUAAGCAUGUCUCCAUACAUUUCUUCUAUAAUAAUAAAAUAAAAUAAAAAGAAUGAACUUUGCAGUAUUAUUCAGGGGAGACUGAUUUUUCAAUUGAUAGACCAGAUGUGUGCUUGAAGUUUUCCAGUCUCUUGGAUUGGCUGAACUUGCGCUGAACCACACUUCUGAAGCUUGAGGUAGGUCCAUCUCCUCCCUGUGUUUUUUCUGGCCCUCAUUCCUCAUCUUCCUCUACCUUCACCUUGCCACCUCCCCCCCCCCAACAAUGUUUUAGAGAAACAUGCCGAUAUCAGACUCCAUCUCCUUUUCUGUUUCUACAAGAAACUGAGGCCCACUCAGCAUUUCAUGAGGAUGGUAACUCUGUGGGAAGUUACCAUAGGGGGAGCAGGGUUCCACCUUCAACUCCUGCUCCCCACAUUUUCAGCCUCUUGGGAAGUACAUUCUUCCACUUCCUACCUUCCUUAGCCCCUUAGAAACUCUGGUGAAUCCAUUUCUUUCCAUCUUCUUCCAAAAUAACAGAAACUGUUAUUUUUAAUUUUUAAAGCUAAUUUUUAAAAGAGCAGGGGAAUAAGUUAUAAGGAUACAGGGGUCUCAGGAAAUUCAGUUGUAACAGAAGAACUGGAAAGCCCUGCGCAGGAUUCGGUGUCUCCCCUUUCUGGUAUCCACCUGCUGGAUUCUUCUCUCUGUGUGGUUGCUUUCUCUGUUCUCUAUCCUCUGCUCUGAGCCCCCAAGUGUUCAGCUACAUUGAAAGACAGACCACCUGGCUCAGAACCCCAAUUCCAAAUUCCUGGAAAAGAGAGCCAGGUUGUCCUGGUUGGAUGACGUCAACCAGGAGGAAGUAGUCUUAGAGCAGCAGGUAACCUGAGGGGGAGCUCAUGGCCAGCACCACACAGUGUGAUCUGGAGAGUAGGUGAUAUUUAUCCCUCUGAAGACCUGAGGUUUGGAUAUAUUGUCGAAAAGGGUAUUCAUGGGCUGGGGUUGUGGCUCAGUGGUAGAGUGCUUGACUAGCAUGUGUGAGCAGUGGAUUCAAUCCUCAAUACCACAUAAAAAAAAUAAGUAAACAAAAUAAAGGUAUUGUGUCCAUCUACAACUGAAAAAAAAUUUAAAAGGAUAUACAUUUUGUUUUCACUGAAGUAGAACAAAGCACAGACCUUGGAAUCAGAUCUGUUUAGCUUUGAGUACUUGCUCAUUCACUUAAUAAUUUAAUAAAACCCUCCCUACCCCAAUCCUACCACUCAUAAAAAGGUCCUAUCUUUCAAGAUAAUCUAAAAAGCCCCCAAUGGUCUCUGACCUCCUGUCUUUGAUCCCCCCCACACACCCAUAUCCCAGCCAUACAAACUACUUACUUUUCUGCUGAGAAAAGUAUAAUGUCUUCAUCCAUCAUAAUGUCUUCCUCCCCACACAUCUUCUUCCCACCCACUCCCAACCUUGUUUGCCCAAUGGGAUAAUUUUUUCCUCAGGAAACUUUCUUCAACUCAUAAGGUUAUACUCACUGUCCCUUUCAUAUCAUCCUGAGAAGAAACUCUUCUUGGCAUCCCUGGAAACCAGUUCAUCAGCAUAAAUUGUUCUAGGACUUUGCAUGCCAAGGUAGCCCAUUCCAUUACUGAUCUAGAAGGUUCUGCUGCCCCCAUCCCAACCUGCAAUAGAACUGAAAAUAUCUCCUUAAAUCUUCCAUACAGUGGUCUUAGAUUGUACCCUAGAAUAACUCUCAAAUUUCUGGAUGCAUCAAUCAGUUAUCCCCUCUCCAAUGUCCCCAAUCUCCUCUCCAUCCCCAAAGAUUCAUCAUCUCAUAAUAUCCUCUAGUUUGUUACUGUUCUUCUCAAAGCUUGGCACUCCUAGAUGAGUCCAAACACCAGCUCCUUCGUAUGGACCCUACAGGCCUAUGCAUUCUCAGAUUGAGUGACUUUAAUUCAUGUGAACCACCUACCUGGGUCCUGUCAGCCACAUCCCCUCCAAACCCUUAUCAUAUGAUCAGCUAUUCAUGUCAAGUUCCAUCUCUUCUUACUCCCAGACUUAUGCAAUUGACUGAAGUUACACAACAAGCCAAGGGCAGAGAUGAGAUGUCUCAAGAAUUAUGAUUUCUAGUCCAGUGUGUCUCAGCAAUUCAUUUGUCCACAAUUUUUUGAAUGGAUGGCUGUAUACAUAAUAAUGAUAGCAAAUAUAAUAGUAAGUGUGGUUGAUGCUUAAUGAGGGUCUCUUCUGAGCCAGGUUCUGAACUAAGCAAUAUACAAGCAUUUCCUUACUUAACCCUCACGACUAGUCCCUAAAGACUUUACCAAAGAGGAAAUGCAAGUUUAGAGAAAUUAAGAUAUUUAAUCUACUAGCCCAAUAGAAUGAAGUAGUAUGUUAAACAUCAAAGAAAUAAGAUAUUAGAAUAUUCAAUAUGACUGCUGUGGGUUCUCAUAUUUCUUUCCUAAAAUUAGGAAUGACCAAACUUGAUUUCAUUUAAAAAGGGGAAGAGGACUCACAUCAAUCAGUUAACAACAUCUAAGGGAGAAGAGAAAUAGCCCAGCAACUGAAACAAGUUUGCCCUGGUGUUCUUUUUUUUUGAUUGAUUUUUUAAAAAAUGACAGUGGAAUGCAUUACAAUUCUUAUUACACACAUACAGCACAUUUUUUCAUAUCUCUGGUUGUAUAUAAAAUCUGUUGACACCAACUCGUGUCUUCAUACAUGUACUUUGGAUAAUGAUGCCUAUCACAUUCCAUCAUCCUUGCUAACCCCCUGCCCCCUCCAUUUCCCUCCCACCCCUCUGUUUUAGGCACGGACUGGCCCCUUACAAGAUGUUCAGAAGUCAUUGAGCUUUGGCCUCAGUACCCCCACACCACACACACUUUUUAACCCUGAAUGUGGUAUGAGAACAGAUUUUAUAAUUUGUCUGAGGUUCUCUAGGCCUUUACUGUCAUCUUACAUUCAUAUAACAAAGCUACAUAUCUGAUUGCUUAAUUUGAUGAUAUCCAGCCAAUCUGAGAUCAGAACUGCAAAUCGUGGUGAAAUCUUGUUUACUUAUUUAAUGCAAUUCCAAGAGUUUCUAGUGUUCACCUUUAAAGAGCCAACAAAAACUUCUUUUUUUUUAAAACCAUGAAAUGGGAAAUGGCAUUGGUCUGGUUGGUUUCCAUGUAAAGAAGAACUCAUGAGCCUAGUGGCCUUCUGAUAACCCUGAUCUGCUUGGGACUGGCAGGUAAAGAUGUUCUCAGUCACAUCUCUUCCCUUGUAGCCUGUGAACAAUAAAGAAAACUUUUCCACCAUGCCUUCGGGACUAAAGGCUGUUAGACAACAUUCUGGACAAAUGGUCUCCAUGGAAACUUGAGAUGAUUGAACUCAGAUCUUGCCUUGCUUCCUCUGAAGCAGGAUCAGAGAUCUGCCUGUUGACUCUGUGGCUUCUCAGAAGAUUUGGAAAUAUCCUUAAUGUGGGUAUGGGAUGGGGACAGGGGAAUUAUUGUGGCAUAGGGGACAGAGGAAGUUUCCAAACACAUUAGGGUUUGGCAAAACCCAAGAACCUCAUGCCUGGGCCUUUUCCCUUCACUUUUAAGUCCAUAUACAUUUCAAAGGGAACUUCGUCCUCAUUUCAGGAGUGACUACACCAGUGUGCCAAGACAGUGGCAAUGGAGACUGCUACCUAGCAUGUCCCAUGGUGUUUUUUCCCAUUCAUUGCUACUUAGCCACCAAAACUCGUUCAUUUUCAUCAAGUCUUCCUCUCCAUCAAGUCUAGCCCACUGUGACCGCUACCUUAAGACAAUGUAACAUAUCACUCACAAGGUGGCUCUUGAAAACCACAUGCAGACUUACUGGCCUUAUAAAAAUUGUUUUAACUAUAUGUAAACACAAGCAUAGAAACAAAUGUGCAUGCACUUUUCAUGCACUUACUCAAAACUAUUUACUAAACACCUUUGACAGCCCACCACUGUGUUUGGCACUGGGCUCCAAAUGGAAAACAAGAUUAGCAAUGUCUUGACUCUUACCCACCUCACAUGGGGAACUGUAUGUCUUGAUGUCUGAACCCAUGGGAUUUUCAUUUAUCCAGGUGAUCAAGCAAUGACACAGAAAGGCUAAUGUUCUUGAAAGAAGAUUUAUUAUUAUUAUUAUUAUUAUCUGCAUUUCUUUAGAGAAAGAGGUAUGCCAUGCAUGGGAAGCAUGGGGCUACAUGGGAAACACCGGGUUUGGUCAAGAGACAGCAGGAGCAAGGAGAGGCAAGCCUGGGCUGGGGAGUUUAUUGGGGUUUCUGCAGGGAAGGCAGAGGGAACGCUUUAGGAAUGGCCGGUUUGAAUAAUUGCAGCAGGCUUUGGAAUUUUUGCCUGAUGUCUGACCCUGGGAUGAUUUAGGGCAGGAGAAAUACUAGUUUGAUGUGUAAGAGUUAAAGGGGAGCUAUUGGGACAUAGGAAUGGUGGGUCUAUUUGUUGGUUUAUAUAUAAAGGGUGAGACUUUUACUGUCUCUAAGAACAGUUAAUCUCUCCCUGAAAAGCAAACUUUUUAAGAUGCUAAAUCAUCAUAAAAUACAGAAAAAAAACUUAAAAACUUGAUUAAUAGUCUGUAUCCAUCGGGGUUUAGUACAGAUAACAAAACCCUCCAGGUAAUCCAAGGCAAAAAUAAUUUAGUGUAGGCAUAGAGUAUUUACAAAAUACUAGGUCAGCUGAAAAGGAAGAGAGGUGGCCCCCAUCGGACAUUUAAUCAUUUCAAGGGCAUACAAUUCUUACUUUGAAACAGAGGGAAAGGUGUUGCUGCUACUGAUCCAGUGAUCCCCACACAACUGACUUAUACCACAAGGCUGUUGACCCGACAUGGAGUGCUGUCCACUUACCAUGGCUGACUGACACCUGUAUAACCUUGCUUACCAGCAAGAGAACUUUAUAUGUUUUCCUAGGAAUGGAAAGGGAGAAAGGAGGGAACAAGGAUGGCCAUGGAUCUCUGUGGUCUACACAGCACAGCACCCCAGACAGAUCCAUGCUAACUACACCAGGCUGUACCUCCUCUCUGUCCUGUAAGUGAUAGAGAGGCUUACCUGCCAGACAAUGGCCCACAGCUGACCUUCCUCUCGGGCUGCCCUCUCUGCUCUUGCUCUUUCUUUCCUUCAUUCUUUCAUAGCAGAAAACCUUCUAUGCACUCUUGAAGAGGCAGCUCAAGCAUUGCCUCCUUUGUGGCAAACCCUCCUUUUCUUCAUCCUGUUAAAAACUGGCCGUGCCCUCUACCCCCAGAGGGGCAGAAGCAGAUUCUCAUCCUGGGGUCUGCCAUGUUUCUUCCGCUCUUCUGUGAGUGUCUCUGCUUGACUGUGAUCUGCUUAGGGCUACGACAUGGCACACUCUAGACACAGAGUAAAUGAUGCUAGGUGAAUGGGCAAGACUGGGACUCUCACCACAGACCAAAGAUGCAGGUAGGGAAGCCAACAGAGUCCAGUCCACUCAGGGAGGAACCAAGUGGAUGAAUCCUAUUUUUAUCAAGGCUGAAUGAACUUGAGCAAACAGGAGGAAGCAGAAAAUAAUAUCUUUGAUAUCACUCAGAGAUACUAGUUAGUUUCCAUUGCAACUCACAGAAACCCAGCUCGAAUGAGAAUAAAGAAAUAAAAAGGAAUAUACUGACCAGCAUAGCACAAAGGCCACGGUUCUGGUUUCAGGUAGAGCUGGAUCUGGUCUACACUCUAAAUCAUAAGGGGUCUGUCACUUUGGCUCAGUUUUCCUCUGAGGCCUAUAUUCUCACACUGACUCUUCCUAUGUGGUAGCAAAGGUGAUCACCACCACUUCCUACUUAUAACAUACCUACUUGGCAACCUUAGUAGAAAGGGAGUCUCUUUCUCAAUACUUUAAGCAAAAUAUUUCAGGAUUGACUGUCUUGGCCCAGUCUGGUCCCAACCACUCCCCAUCCAACGUCAGGUGGAGAGAACAUGUCUUGUUCACCUUCAAAACUUCAAAACCAGGGGUCUCCAUAGGUCCUAUCAAGCCCAUGGGCUGGGUGUGUUAAGAAGUGGCCCUCAAAGGAAAACUGAAGUGGUGUUACCAAAAGAGAAGAAUUUACGGUGGGCAGGAAGAACCACAGAUGUUCCCACAGUGGACAUUUGGCACUUGGCCGCCUCUAAACCUCACUCUUCACUUUGAAAGAGACUUUAAACCCUUCAAGAGCAACAGCAAAACUGAGACCACUCUCUGGGUGCCUCGCGGAUGGGCUGCCCAAGAGUUCUGGUACCAAACAGAAAAAUUUGACACCAUUUCUGAGUUUCAGUUGAGAUUGGGGGAAAAGAAGGAAAAUCCCAUCAGUUUUGGGUCUUGAGUAGUAAGACAAGAGAGGCAGAGGGGAAAACACUUGGUAUGUAAAUGUAAUGAACAACAGAAAAUAAUGAAAAAGGAAGUGCUUCCUCUCGUUUGUCAGCCGGGCCUGUGAGGAACAAGAGAAGCACCUUCUCUGGAGCCUCAGCUGCUCUCUGCCUUUCCAGCCACCUCCUUGGGAAGAAUGAGGCUUUAACAACCAGCAUGGGGUCCGGGCUGGCCUCCACCCAAGCCUGAACAGUGCCCCCAUUGAGGGACCUCAGGGGCAGCCCUGGAUGCCUCUCCCUUCUCCUACUCCCCUCAAUGGGCUAUUUGUAGGACUAACAAGGACUGGGAGACAUGCUGCCCAUCUCCUCCGAGGCCUCAACAGCUGCAGGAUUCCUCAGGAACUCCACAAGGCCCUGCACUUCCCUGCAAAGAAACCCACAGGAGGGAUGCCGGAUUCAGGAAGGGAUGCCUCCUUGAUGAGAGAGAAAAACACUCCUCAGUUCUCUUCUUCCUCCCAUCUCCUGGGGUAGCAACGGUUCACCCCCAAAAUAUCUGGUAUUCUGCCUUCUUGCAGCUCGAACACCCUCCCUGUGCCAUCUUCCUUGCUGGCUGGGAACAGAAAGGAGGAAUGAUGCCUUCCUCUAAGACAGAGUUUAUGAUUGCAGCCAUAUCCAAAUAGUCCAUCUUCAUCACCCUCUUCCUCUGUGACAUAAAGUGACCAAGAGUGGAGAGUGGCAGCCAAAAAGUUCUCAUCCAACACCAAGGCCACAGCCUACACAGAAGGACAGUAGGCAGUGGUGUAUUCUGUUUCUCCAGUGUCCCUCAGGUAAUGACUCCUAUUGCGUGGGGAAAGAGACCAUCAUAGUGACCAGACUGGACAGGGAAGGGCAAAUCAUUUCUGAUUUUCUACUUCCAUAGGAUACAGAGGUUUCCUCAUGUGUUUUCAUUUAAGAUAUGCAAGUUAACCCGUGCCCAAAUCUCUCCCUCCUGCAGUUAUUGCAUAUGAAAAUCUCCCAUUCUUGUGGAAAUUCUCUGUGCGUAGAUUGCAACACAGCAUGGCUAGAAAUCUGUCUGUGUGUAGUUUACUCAAGUGUAAAUACUCCUGGACUCUAGAUACUGAGCCUUAUAAGUGAUUAAUAUUAGGGUUCCGUGCGGCUGUUCCUGUCUUCCCCAGAGCAACAGCUGGGAUAAAGGAGAGAAGGGGAGCUCCAGAAAUAAACUGCCCACACUAUGCACUGGACAGAAUCCGAAGGGGGAUCUGGUACAACUUCAGAUCUGGUUUCCUCCACAGUCUCCUUGCCAGACUGUUGGAUUUGGCCUCAUUCUUCAGGACUGGGGAACUCUUUAGCUCCCAUGCCAGUCCAUGCCAAUUUUGAAUAAAUCUUAGAGAAUUCUUCCUUGAAUCAACCUCUCAAUGAUUUCCCUCAAAUGCCCACACAUUGAUCCUAAUCUUUCCCUAGUGACGUAUACUCUGAUUCCAUGAAAUGCUCAACUCUUCAGAUAAAAAUUUCCACACAGAAAACACUCAUGCAGCCUCCUGAACAUUUCCAUUUGGGGAUAAAGCAUGGUUCCUGCAAUCCCUUGACAGUUCAAUGUACAAUAUAGUUACAUGAUUUUUAACCACCUGGUUAACUGAUUUAUUUGCCUUGGACACUUUUAAAGAUGAAAUUCCGCUGAGGCUUGGCCAGGGUUAAAGUACAGAUCCAUCACCACCUCAAUAGAAUUCUUCUUUGAAUGCACUCUGAGACUUGAUGUUCAUCAUGUGACUUUGGACUCCUGCUGAACUUCCUUGGUGAAAAAAAACUCAUGAGACUUUUCACAUGAACUUCUGUUAAGCCAGUUAUCUCCAGUUAAUUGAUUUUUUAACCAAAGACCUAAUAUUUAUUUCUUAUUUAACUUCUUCCUUCUAGAGUCAGUCUGUCAAUAUAACAUGUAGAACAUUUCUAAUAUUGAUUCAGUUAGGAAAACCUCUGAAAUGUAUGUAAUUUAAAAUAUCCAAAUGUUUGUUUAAUAUUUUUGUUCAUAUUGUUCAUAAAAGUGAAGGCCAAACUGAGAAGCUCAGAUACAGAGAUCUGAAACCCAAUGUCAGACACAGUGCAAUGUCAUGUUCAAAACCAUGUCAAUACAGCUGGGCAUGGUGGCACACGCUUAUAAUCCCAGUGGCUUAGGAGGCUGAGGAAGGAGGAUCAAGAGUUCAAAGCCAGCCUCAGCAAAAGUGAGGUGCUAAGCAACUCAGUGAGAUUCUGUCUCUAAAUAAAAUACCAAAUAGGGCUGGGAAUGUGGCUCAGUGGUUGAAGUGCCCCUGAAUUCAAUCCCCAGUACCGCCUCCCCCCACCGCCACCAAAAAAAAACAUGUCAAUACAAUACAGACAGAUGCCAGACAUUGGAGGGUUCAAUCCUAUGUCUACAGAUCCAGGUAAAACUCAUGUAAAAGAACAAUUAUUAUUGGAUGUACCCAAGUAUUUUUAUGUUUUCUUUAAGUUGACAAUAGAUAGGAGUGUUCAGUAUUUUUUUUAUACUAAGAUCUUAUGGGUACAGAGGUCCCAGCCUCUUGUGCAUUACAUGAUGGGCUUGUGCGUUACGUGAUGAGUUUUAAAUAUUAUUAUUUUUAUUAAAACAACCUUCUUGAUAACAUCCUAUAUUGCUUCUUUCUGUGACAAAUUCCAAAAUCAAAGCCUACCCAGUCAAUAUGAUUAUCAAAUUCACAUCCAAACCUUAGCCCUGUGUUUCCCUGGGAUUUUCUAAACCCUACCCAAACGGGUAUUUUAUUUCCAUUUUCCAGGGAAAAUAAAGCCUUUCUAUAAAUUAUUUGUACACACUAGCUUAAGUCCAAGUUCUUACAAAACAGAUUUGAAUAUUUAGUCAAGACAGCUCUCAGGGAAGAAGCCUCCCAGUUUGAAUAAACCCCUUUUGGCUAAGUCAUGUGAAAGUUACAAGCAAGGCUCAACUCAGAUGUUUUUCCAGAGCCAUUCCCCAGCUUUAUGACUAAUAGAAAUUGAGUUCGAUCUGAAAAAUGGAUUGAAUAAUAACAUGAGAAUAACUAAGUCACUUAUUUGCGUGUUUUAAUGUCAUUUUUAAAAAGUCUCAAACUAAGUUCAGAUUUUGAGCGAGACUGAUUAUGGGACAAAUGAUGAGCAGGAAAGCCCAAGUAAAUCUAUUACUGCUGGACCUCAAGCCCUCCACAAUAUUAAUUCUUUUCCUAGGAGACCCUAUUAAAAUAAUAAGUUGGAUCAUAGCUCACCUUGCCGCAUCCCAGCCUUGUGAAAGAAGCCUUCCAAGCUGGGUGCACAGGCACACCCCUGUGGUCCCAGCUACUCAGGAGGCUGGAGCAGGAGGAUCCCUCAAACCAGAAAUUCAAGGUCAGCCAACACGGCAAGUCCCUGUCUCCAAACAACAAAAACAGAGCUAAAUAAGCCUUUCAGGAGUUAGCCUCUCUCUUUCCAAAAUGCUUGUUCAAAUCCUAAUGCAGUCUUCUCAUUGCUCUGCAGGAGCAAUGCUGAUAAGAUAUCACUUCUGUCAUCCACUUCUAAUGUCCAUCACCCUUCACAGGCAAGUCACCAGUCCUUCUCAUAAAGCAUCUCCACAUUCAGCACUUCCUUUGGUUUCCCUUAUUUUCACCUGUCAGAAUCACAUACAUCCUGAGUCUUGAAGGUUUCAGGGAUCACUCUUUCCCUUAGUAUCUAAAUCUAAUUAUUGGGACUGCAGGAAGUCUGGUGCCCACCUCAAUGUCUCAGAGGCUCAGCCAUAGGAUGCUCCUCCUGGUUGCCAGUCACCUCAUCCUCCACACCCUGCUCCUGGAUGCUCCUCAUUAGUCCUGUCCUUCUUGGCCAUCCUCACAGCCCUUUCUCCUUCGCAUGUGCUCUCUUCUUGUCCCCUCAUUCUGCAAGGCACUAUGACAUAGGCCACAUUGUGUAAGACUUACACUGAAGGCCUGGAAAUUUUGGAAAUGAGUUAGUUAUAGAACAACAACAAAAAAUUAAUUGAGGCAUCACUUUUGCUAAUUUCUAUCCAUAAGUAUUCCCUUCCUGCAUAGGUUGCUGGGCCUGCCCUCAAAAUGGAAUCCCUGGCACCACUCCUUCCUUCCUCACUCGCCACUGGUAACUCAAUCUUCCUUAAUAUGAAAGAGAAGGAGAAGAGUCAUACCAGAGUAAGACUUCAGCUCCACAAACCGUCUGCAGGAAAGCAUGCCACAUCAUCAACAGGGAUUACAGGAGCAAAAGCCAUGGAGGUUGUAUUGUUGGAGGUUUCCUGUGCUUUUAUGAACAUGGAGACCUCUGAGAUUUACUUAGGUGGUCACCCAUUUGGCAGCUGCAAGAUUGUGUUCGGGUUGGGGCUUACCCUCAUCCCAGGGAAUUAUCUCAUUUCACAGACUCAGCUCAAACAUCAUCCAUGGAGCCCACUGUGCCCACCCAUGUUCCCUUCCUGCUGGGCAGCUUCUUGCUUCCUCCACCUGCAAACUUUAUACUCUCUACACAUCUUUUUCAGCCCUCUUCAUGACUCAAUCAGUCAGGGUCUCAGCAAGAGACAAACAGUAUCUUCACAUUGAAGAUAAUUAAUACUAUUUACAAGAAGCAGGAUAUAGGGAAACUAAAUGAUGAUGCAUACCCCAGAGCAAAUAAGAGGGCCUCUGUCCUUACCCCUAGACUGAAUAGGUAAAAAGAGGGAGUGGUUCCCAGAGACUGGGAAUAGAAGGAGAGGGAUGUUUGACAAAAGCACUGCAGCCUUCAGCAAAGGGAUGCAAACAACCUAGAGCAAACUCUCAGGAAAGGGGCUCAUGGGAAACCCUGGGAGCUUCACUCUCCUAUCUCCAUCCAUCCUAGCUGGAAGCCAGGGGGGCAAGGCAGCCCUUGGAUUUGAUCCAUUGAGGGCCACCUCCAAGGCAACAAUGGAGGAGAAGGGUAGUAAGUGGACCUGGAGGGCUAACCAGAGAUCCAGCACAAUAACAUACCAUGAUUACUGAUUGACAGGCACAGUCCAAGAGUCUGUUGCCCAAGGGCCUCUCUUUGAUUUAACUGUGCAAAGAAGAUAGAGGUCCAGGCUGCAUCCUAUGUACUGCACAACAUCCACACCUUCCUGCCUGCCCCCUUCUAAUCUUUGAAGUGUUUGGGGUUGAGACUUCUCAUGAGCCUCUCUUUGCUGCCCGCCCCCUGGGACCCCCAUUUUUUCUCCUCUCUCACUAGCCUACUUCUUCUCGUGAUGGAUAACACCCUUCUUCCUUCUUUUUUCCCAAAUCAGCAUGAAUUCAAGUGUUACUCUAUGUGUCAGACUUGUAACUGAAGGGUGGGGAAUGAAGGAGAUAAUUAGACUUCUCUUAGGAAUUUAUUAGACUUCUCUUUCAUAAAUAUUCAUUAAGCAGUCUCUACCACGAAGAAUUUCUCAAUUAUGCUCACUACCGUCUUCUAGAAAACCCACGGUCUUCAAAGGCCUUCACAUCCUCCUCUAAUGACAACCUUCUAAAACCCAAAUUUUGUUAUUCUCUUCUUUGCCUAAACCUUUGGAUAUCUUAUUUUAGUACAAAAGUUUUUUCUAACCAAAUUGAAAAAUUCUAUAAAUAAGAUUUUAUUGGAACCAGGGCCAGGGUUAGGGUGAGGAAAGUGAGGCAAAGUCCUACUCAUGCAGCAUCAGAUCCUCUUUUUUCAAAGGUUUUGUACUUUGUUCAUCAUGGGUGUCUUUCAUUAAUUCUAAUUAUUAAAAAUAUUAGAAUAUAAGGGUAUUUAUUUUGAUCACUACAUUUUAACUAGGGAUUGAACCCAGGGGCAUACUGAGCCACAUCCCCAACCCUUUUUAUUUUUUAUUUUGAGUUACGGUCUUUCUAAGUUGCGUAUGGCCUUGCUAAAUUGCUGCGGCUGUCUUUGAACUUGUGAUCUUCCUGCCUCAACCUCUCGAGUUGCUGGGAUUACAGGUCUACAUCACCAUGACUAUCUGAUCACUACAUUUCUUUGCAUCUCUUUUUUUCUGUACCCAAAGUAAAUGCUUCACUCAAUUAAUCCUAGUGGUGGCCAUGCCAGGGAGGAGUUGGAUGAAGGGACUCAUCAUUUUUACGGUAAAUGUGCCCAUUAAGGGAUUCUUCCAAACCAAAAGAUAAAUUCUUUUCCCAAGCACUUGCUUUUCCUUAAAACUCCUGCUAAUUUUGCAAAUUAUUUUUUCAACUACCCCUCCCUCAUUGGGAUAAAAAAUGGUGUCUCAUCUGUCUCUGUUUCCUUGGUGUCCUGACUUAGCAGAUGAAUUCUAAAUACUUACUGAAUACAGGGAUCCAGUGCAAAGCUUUAUAAGUUUAGUCAGUUAAUUGUUUAAUCUAUUACUUUUUUUAGGUAAAAAUCCAACCUUAGAAAACCAGCUGGCAAAGAUCUGAGAGAUCAUUUAAUCUCAUUUUUUUCAUUUUACACAUUAGGCAGCUGAGGCCUAUGUCCAGUUAUACUUACAGGGAAGUUGCCUAGGGUUUAUCCAGAAGAAUUAAUAUUUCCCACAAUCAGUAUACCAUCCCAUCUAAAUACUUUUGUAAGAUCUUAGCAGACAGAAUAGAGUGAAAUUCUCCUGGAGGUUCAGAAGCCCUUGCAUUAAUACAAUGCUAUUAUUUCUCCUAAUAGACAACCCAGGGCAUGAAAAAGGAGCUCAUUAUAUGAACUCACACAAAGGAGGCUAAAUGGAAAAAUUACUGACACCCAACCCAAUAACCUGAGUCGGAGCAACUUCUAUCAUAGUGAGAUACAGAAAUAUUAAUUUCAAGAAGUUUUAAAUCAGAGCCAGAUAAUGUAUUUGCCCAAGGUAAAGGCAUGCAUGGAAGGUCUGCAGAGAAGGACGACGGUGAUAAGGAAACCUUGCCUCUUUUCAAUGAGCUCAUUGUGGCAACUGUGCAAGGCCCUAGCAGGCAGACAAGGGUCCCUUCACUCCUGCACGCAGGACAGUUUGGCCAAAGGACAUCUAGGGUGACACGCCUCAAACAGUCAGCACUAAUCUCUGUAUCCCGGAAUAGCCCAAAGAACCAGUCCAACCUGACUGUCUGCCUUCUUGGUUCUUUGUCCAGCUCUCCUUGGUUUAUGCUGGAACUUCGGGGACUUCUCUGGUGACAUGAUCUUUGUCCACAACAACAUCCUUCAAGAGAUUGAACAACCCCCAGGUUUGCCCAGCGGGUGAUACUAAUAUUAGUUCCAAUUAGAAGUAACGAUUCAAAACACAUGAGGCACACAUUGACCAACAGGGCCUGCAGAGCUGCCCCAGAUUCAUUUCUUCCUCACAACAACCCCUGGCAGAAAAGAGAUCAAACUGACCUUGAAGAAGAAACCUCCUUUUCUGAUCAGUUACCAUGGCAACACAAACCCUCCCCCCCCAAAGCACCUGCCUGAGGGCUCCCACCCACCAGCUGGUAGUGAGAGUGGACCGUCAGCCUGGGCUCCCAGUCACUGCUCAGUCCAUCAACAAAGGUGCCAGCAGUGCCAGUUGGCUUCAUGAUAUGGAUACCUGCCCGCUAAGCAUUGGCCCAAAGAUCGGGGACUUUCACAAAGGCCAGCCAACAGCUGGCAGGCAGGAACCACAAGGUCAUUUUCAUCCUGGGCUGAAUUGGAACGUGCACUGAGGAGACAAAGGCUGUCUGUAACCACAGCUUCCCUCCUCCCGGGGUGUUUUAUUUACAGCUCUAGGUCCUUGCUAUGGGAGGGCGGAGUGGCUGAAGGUGCCUUUUCUGUGCUUUUCUUUUUUACCCUUUUCACAUUGCCCUGCCUUGUGUUUGCCCACAUAGAAAAGCUUUCUGUGCCCCAUGUCUCAUUUUAUCGCAGAUCAGAAAGCUCAGCAUAAGUCACCCAGGGCCAGUGGGUUCAGAGGUGGAGCUGGUAACCAGAAGCCGUGUCAAACUUCCUCUGCUGGCUCCACACCAAGGCCUCUGAGGAUUUCUUGUCACAUGAGGUUAGUGUAGUUUCACAUCCUCUAAAGCAAAGCUCUGUCGAAACUCUCUAGUCUCACAUGGCUUCAGCUCAAAACAACCACCCCACUCAGCUGCCUUCUGAACUGUUUCAAGAGCAGGUCAGGAGACCCGGGUUCCAAUUGCAGCUCAGUCAGCUUGACCUUGAGCAAUUACUGGUCCUCAAUUUUUUCAUCAGAAAAAUUAAGGGGCAAAGUAGCUGUCAUUAGAGCAUUGAAGUGCCUUUCUUUCAACACAUUCUUUUCCCCUGUUUUUUGUUUUUCUCCUUAAAAACAAACAAAGACUUGAUUUUCCUGGCUGCUCUUAACGUGUAAGUUGUUGACUUAUCAAAGGCUAAUGGAGAUUAUUUCAGUUUAAAAGAUAAAUGGAUAUGCACAACAUGGAUGAAUCUCAAAGAUAUAUUAUGUCAAGUGAAAGAAGCCUUUUAUAUAAAAAGCUCAUACUGUAUAAUUCUAUUAAUACAAAAGUUUCAAACAGAAAAAACCAUUCCAUAGUCAAAACUGUUAGGCUGAGGGUUGCCUCUGGGAAUGAAAGAGGAGCAGGGAUUGCUGGGAAGGAGUGAGAAGGAACUUUCUAGAUUGAAGGUUAUAUUCUAUAUCUGGAUAGGUUUGGGUUACACAGAUGAAAGUCUUUGUCAAAACUCAUAGUAUGCUACUCCUAAGAUGUAGUGAUUGAUAUAAUAAAGUGAUUUUAGCAAAGUGUUAAUUGUGGAAUCUAAGUAGUGGAUAUAUGAGUGAUUACUGUGUAACUCCAUCAAUUUUUCUGUAUAUUUGUAAAUAGUCAUAAUAAAAUAUUGGGGGAAAUAUACACAGUGUAAUGUUACAAAGUUCCGGCCCAACCAUCACUCUUGCUUCAUUUGAACUUUUCUCCCAUUGAGUCAGUGGAAAUGGGAAUAGUCAUUGAUUAGGUAAGAUUAAUCACUGGUGCUCUAUAAUGACUAAUUACUCUAUCACUGCCCAGCCUUCCAGGGAAGAGGAUAAGUUCUGUACAUCCAGAACCUGCCCUUUGGUCUCACCUGCCUUAGCACAGGUAUUAGAAGCAGGUUCCCACCCAUACUACAUAGGCAGUUGGUGGCUCCUCACUCUGAAUCUCUCCGCUCUUUGAUGACCAAUAUCUUCAGUGGUCUUUCAAUUAACACAACCCAAUUAAAGCAUUUUAAUUCAGCCCUAAAUCUAAUAGGGAUAUAGAUCUUUAGAACCACUCUGAUAUUUAACGUAUUAAUUACUCAGGGACAGAUUAUAAGCAUAUCUUUUCCUAGACUCACUGCUCUGUUAACCCACAGUAAAUAUAAAUAUCAAACUUGGUCCCUGAAAGACUGACUUUUGUGACCACUUAUCUUUAAGACCCUGAAGGCAUUCUUCUCUGUUCCUCUCCAAUUUGCUUACUUCUCUCUGAAAACCUUCAAGCCAGAUCCAUGCAAAGAAGCAUAUGGUCUGCUAUGAUCUGCCCUGGGAACAGAGAGACCCAACUCACUUUGGUGAGAGAAGAGAAAUAAAGGAAAGAAACACAACUAAGAAAGUAGAGAAAAAUGUAUCCUGGGUGCAGAAUUCAUGAUGGGUCCAUUUAUUUAAUUGACAAGUCACUCAAAUCAAAUAGACAUACACACACUUCCCAAGCACCAGUCAUGGUUUAACACUUAGGCCAUCCAAGGAGUCUUAUAUUUAUUGACCCAAACUAGUAUCUAACCUAAUUUAGUGAAGAAGAUAAAUUAUAAGCUUAUACAAAGUUGAAUAGUGAAAUAUUUAGACAAUUAUUGAAUAUAUCAUUAGAAGAACAUCCAAGCUCCAUGAACUCAACUGAGGUAGGGAGGCCCUAGGAGUUUAGAAAGGAAUAUAUAUCAUUUCUAGGUGGAGGAGACCAGGUACCUCACAGAGUGAGCUUUAAGCCAUGUCUGGAAAAAGAGGUAAAAUGUGAGAAAUGCAAAAAAGGGAGAGACUACCGUGGGCAGGUAAAAUAGGAAAAUUAAAGCAGAGCUUCUCUUCACAUCCCUUAAGCAACAGAGAAGCAUCAUUCAUAUACAAGAGGCCUCUGUGAUUCAGUUCCUUGAAGAAAUUGUUUUCAAAGAUAUCCACCCACCAUAAAAAAAAAAUGCUUAAAUAAAAUUGAUUUACUUAAAAACCAGCCUGGUCUACCCUAAUGUGUUAGAGCAGACAGAAAGUGGAUCAGUAAGAUCACUUCCUUAAACCAAGACACAGACCACAUUAUCAGUGUUUUGUCUUCCCAGGGGACCUCACAAUAAACUAGAACCUCUGGAGGACACAUGAGAGGAUGUUAGUUGGCCCUUAACAGGCAUGAAGAGCAGGCCUGAGGGUCCUCACUCCUUUAGCCAAGUCAUAGCAGGAAAGAGAGAGGUCCCAUGUGCUCCAUGGUCAUCUUGCACAUUAAUGUUCAUUUCCAGCUGCCAGUCCUGGAUGUCCAAUAAGCCACUGGAUUUCCACAAAAAGGAAAAAUGUUAAACUUUUCUCCGCAAAAAGUCCAAACUGAUUUUUCACUAAGUAGAUUUCUCACCAUUUUAAUUGCAGCAGAUGAUGAUGUCUGCUCUGGAUAAAAAGUCAAAUUGGAUCUGCAUAUGUAUAUGCUCAAGGUACCCACCCUACAGUAUAACCAUUAUGUUACAGAAUCAGCAAAGGAGUUGGAGGCAGAACACCUGAAUUUAAAUCCCAACGUUGCUUCACAUGACUAGGCCAGUCCCAGGAUGUUUUUGAGCCUCUAUUUCUUCAGAUAUACUGUCAACUACCAUGUAAUGUGGAUGAGAGAAUUGGAUAGAACAAUAGAUGUGAAACCUUUGCUAAGGAUGCUGGCCCAUAGCAAAUGCUUUCUAUAUGUUUUCCAGAUUGAAUUUAGAACUUGCUUUGUGAAGUGAGAACCAUAUUAAAUUGAUCAGAAAUCAGAUAUGAACACCCAUAGUUAAUCAGCGAUUGCAUUGUUUUUUCCAUUUCACAAAUUCUUCUGAGUUUCCACCCAUAUUAAAAAAAAAUCUAUUAGGAUUGCAGAUUUGAUAAACGUCUUUCAGGAACAUUGCCCCUCACCCCACUUUCCUCCAUAUGUACAUUUGUUAAAAAUUAACAUUCAGUCCUUUUUGUGGAGGUUUUUAUCAGGAAAUCUCAAACAGCACACUGAAGAGAAGUUGAGAUGCUUCUAUUUCCUCCAUUUCUCUGUACCUGUAGAAACUGAGGCACAAGGGUAAAGACACAGGAGACUUUUUGAGUAAUCAGAUAAUGAAUGGCUUUGGGGCCGGGAUAUUCACCUAGAGACUCUAAUAUGGUCACAGGAAUGGGAAGUAAGAGAAGUGGAAAAGCAGUUUAAAAAUACUGCAGUAUUUAAUGUGUGUUGACUAGAACAGAAGUUAAAGACGGAUUUCAGAAUUUUCAUGUCGCCAGUUUCUAAUCAACAGUUUUCUGUCCUCUCACUGACAAGUUUAGAGCAUAAAAGAAAUCUCAAGAGAGUUGCUCUGUUCUACUUACUGCUUCCAGGUAGAAUUGGUGAUCAUUCACAGAAAAAUGGCUCACACUAUGUCUACAAAUGAAUAUGACUUGUCCUGAUUCUAUGUAGGUGACCACAGCUUCAAAGAAACAAGUCAAAACAGGCAAACAUAAAAAAGUAAGAAGUUUAACUUCACCAGAGCCACUUAUAUUGGGGCUAAGGAGGAUCCAAAAGCACAAUGAAAACAAAGAUUAUUAGACUUGGGAGGGAAAAAAAACCAGUCUGUUUUAGACAAAAUUUUAUUUUGCAGCAAAAGAAACUGGUUUCCAAUUUAAUAGAAAUUCCAGGUAAGAGUCUAAAGCCAAGAACUUUCAUGUACCUCUCCAAAAUAAGGUUAGAAAUAAUAUAAGUAUUAGAUUCUAAAUCCCUCACUUCACCAAUGAAGAAACUGAGGCCCAAAGUAUUUAAAUGACAGCUUUGAGGCCUCACAGUCACAGAGUAGGAUUAAGUCCCAUAGUGUUUAUACUUCUUAGAGGGAGCUGUGGUCCCUCCUGCCUUAAUCCUGUCAGAGGCUUUCAUCAGUCUUUGGUUCUUUUACAUGGGCAAUCGAUGUUUUCGCAAGUUCUUAUAUAAAUAAUGACAUCAAUAUGGCUGAAAGAUCCACAUCUUCUUUCCAACCAGCUUAGCACCCCUGGAGAAGUUCAGGAGCCACCAGUUGAACCCAGAUGAGUGUAAACUUUGCCAGGUAAUAUCUAGGCAAUUUUAAAUACCUGCCUAUGUUUUAUAACCUUUCAGCCUCUUUCAGCCUGUAGAUCAAUUUGGAGCACAAAGCAUCUUACCAUGUUAAAAAUAAAUUGGGGUACUGAAAGAUUUUAGCAAAAAAGAAAUCAUUUUUACUCAUUGCUAAUAGGGCUGGUGUCAAUCUCCUGCUCUUAAUGUUAAAGCUACAGAGCCAAGAGCCAUUUAUUUUAUUAAUUUAUCAGACAAAAAAAAAGAAUCGAGUACUUACUCUGUGCCCAGAAAUUGCUAGGUGCCCGAAAUACAGCAGAAAACAAAGUUACUGCUCUUCUGGAUCUUAUUUCAAUGAGGGAAACAAUCAACAAACAAGUCAAGUCACAAUGUGUCAGGUGUUGCUAUGUGUCAGGGAGAAGAAGGUGGGGAAGCAGCAGAGUGAGCACCAGGCUGGAGAGCUAAGGAAGGGCGGAUGCUAUUUAUUGUAUAGAAGAUGGUGUCUCUGAUAAACAGAGGUGGAAAGUGAGGAAGCAACCUUUGUGUAUAUUGGGAAGAAGCUGUUUCCAAGGAAAGGGUGAACAAGUCAAAUAUUCGAAGCAGGAGUGGCAUGUUCUUGGAACAGCAAGGAGACCAGAGCUGAGAAUGCAGAGUGCGUCAGGGGACAGUGGAGGGAGGUGCUAUCUGGAGGCCUUUUAGGACAUCAUAGAGGCUUUGGCUUGUACUCAAACUGAGGUGGAAAGAUAUUGGAAGGUGUGGAACAGGGGAGAGGUGUGAUCUUAUUUCCACGUAGAAUCAUGUUGCCUGUGUGUGGAGAAGCAACUGCAGCAUAGUGUGGCCUAUUAUACUAACAGAAUGGUGGUGAUGAUGGUGGUGGUGGUGGGGAUGUGGACCUUGAGGUUAGCAGCAGAGGUGGUGAGAGGCAGCAAGAUUCCUGGAAGUAGAACUGGCAGGAUUUCUUGGUGGAUUGGAUGAGGGGUAUGAGGAUGACUUCAGUGAUGACUUCAAGGUUUUAUAUGGGAGCAGCUCUCGGAUGGAACUGCUAUUUGCCAGAAUAAGGAAGGCUAGGAGGGGAAGAGAUUUGGGUUGCAGGGAGGGGAUUUUGAAACAGGAGUUCAAUUCUAAGCAUGCUGGGCUGCUGAUGCUAUUAGACACCCAAUUGAUAGAACUGAUUGAUGUAAAUAAUAGAUACAUCCUAUUAGACACGUGUCUCAAAAUUGGAGUUGGAUACACAGUGGAGAUUUAUUUCCAGCCUGGAGAAAGGUUUGUGUCAUUAGCAUAUGGAUGAUGUUGAAAGGGAUGAAAAGAGAUGAGAUCAGCUAGUAAAGGAGGAUUUAAAAAAAAAAAAGAAUUCAGCGAGACCCUGUCUCUAAAUAAAAGAUAAGAAAAGACUGAGGAUGUGGUUCCGUGGUUAAGUGUCCCUGGUUCAAUCCCUGCUACCAAAAGAAAUUAAAAAAAAAAAAAGAAAAGAGAGGCCCAGGGACACUCCAGUGUUUGGAGGUCAUUGAAAAAUGGAGAAAUAAGCAAAGAAGGUAAAGAAGGGACCAGAGAGGUGGACAAAGAUAAGAGGCUGGCCAAACCAGGAAGGACAAAAUAUAGCCUCCUGUGUCUCCUGUUACCAUAUCUCUAGUCUCCUGUAUAAACCAGUAACAAUAACAGCAAGAAUAGUAUGAGUAAGACACUUACUGGGUAUCUAUCCUGUCUCAGUUAUUGUGUUUUGGCAAAUCUCACACAUCACCGCUGAUGGAUUGGUAGUAGUUACCUGGAACAUUGUGUUGAGAAGGAUUCUGAGGCUGCCUCUUAACUUAAAGGAAAACAAUUGCAUUUUGAUAUAUUCCAGAAACAAAGAAUGGGGAACUGGCAUCACAUUGCCAGGUAUUUGUGAUCACUGUGCUGGGACUUUACGUGUAUUGUUUGAGGAGCUAACAACACCACGUAAUGAUGUAAUUAGCCCCAUUUUUCAAAUGCAGAAACAUAGUUCAGAGAGGUUUAUAACCUCAUACGGUGGCAUAGUGAGAUGUGGCAAAGGAGAAAAUUGGCUCAGCUGAGUUUUGCCCCACAUUCCACAACCUCCUCUUUCCUUUCUCCAGUGGAUCAGAAAAGUGCAUGGACUCUCAGAACCCCAGGGCACACCUUUUCCAAUUUAAACUUAUGUCUCAAAAAGCAUAAAAUCAUGCUUGAACUGAUAUAGAAAUAUAUUUGCAGGUUCAAAUAUAAGAAAAAAAGAAACAUUCAAAAGAAAUAGUACAAUAAAAAAGCAAGUGUUUUCUUUUUUUAAUUUGUUUUUUCUACUUAUACACAAGAGUAGGGUGUAUUGUGACACAUUAUACAUACAUAGAAUAAGUAUAACUUGUUCCAAUUAGGAUUGUAUAUGGUGUGGAGUUACAUUGGUCGUGUAUCCAGGACAGGAAAGAUAUGUCCAAUUCAUUCUGCUGGCUUUUCUAUUCCCAUUCCCCUCCCUUCCCUUCACCUAGGCAGUUGAAGAUGACACAGUGUGACACUGGAGGAGCAAAUGUUAAAAAUAUGACUAUUAUUUUGUCUUCAUCAUUCACAUAGCAACCUGGUAUUAUUCCCUGCCAAAAAAAAAAAAACCUCAGUAGCAUCAAGAAUUGUCAGCUUCUCUUUUAGCACCAAGCCCUUCCCACAGUCAUUUGUAUUAACAUUUGCAAAAGAUUUAUUUCUCUUUGAUUCAAAUAAUUCCACAUUCCCAAGAAUAUCUGGACUGGAGCAUGGCCAACUGCCUGCAGGGUCUGCAGCCAUUUCCCUGCUCCUGGGGAGCUCUCUGGGUGCUCAUGAAUGGCUCAUUGUUAAAGACAAACCCACUGCAGAGAAUAGAGAAAACACAGAAGAGGAAUCAGUGUCAUAAUCUGGGGACCAGUCUGGACUUUGAGCAAUAAAACUGACAGGAAUGGUGAGCACCUAAGGCUGUUGUGAGUCAGAGUGAUUGAUGUCUCCCAGCUCAGGGUUCCCCCAAAAUGGUAUCAACCAUCAACUUCUGGACAGUCCUUCAUGGGACCAAACAGAGUGCUAACGCAGGCCCUAAACUGAAAAUGAUCUCCAAGCCUUUGUUAAGCACUAACUGCAUUCAGGAUUAAGCAGUGAUGUUAGAGAAAAGUCUGAGGCUACCAUCAAGUGAGCUGUAUAGUUUGAGCAACUGAUGAAAGUCCAAGAAAUCAUCUUUUAAACACUUAUUUAGAAGACUGAGAAUCCAAAUCUUGCUCUGAUUUUUGCUUCUGACUUUCUGAAUAUACUCUGCUUAUUUAUCCAAGGCAAUAGGGUACUUCAGAGGAAAGACCAAGUGCCCACUUCAAAAACUUCUAUAAUUUCAGCAUUUUUUGCUGUUGAUCAACUUUCACCAAAUUUAAUUGCAGAAAACAGACGUUUCCUGAUGUCAACUUGUUCCAUUUGAACCAUAUUUAUUAUUUCAGAGAUGUAUUAAUAGACCCCACAACUAAUAUUUAAUGAUUGUAAUUUAGAUAAAUUAGUAGCCACAUUUUAUUUUUCAGAAUAUGGCUCUUUUUCAAAAAAUUACAUUUUUCUUGUAUUGAUUCAGAACUUUUUAUUGUUCUUUUUUGAGUUUUUUUUCAGUGGUCAGCUACCAUAUUUCAAGAUUACUUCCCAUGCAAUAUCACUUCUCUCAACCUGCAGAAAUGCACCAAAACAUAUUGGAGAAAAGCAAUGAACUGAUUCAGGGAAAAAAAAAACAUGUAAUUGAGUUGCAGUCACAAUUAAUCCUUCUGCAGAAACAAUAGCUAUGUCUGCUCAUGUGAAUAUACAUCUACUUUGUGCUACAGAGAAAAAUCCACCUCACUUGCUAAGGCAUGCCUCUGUUCCCCAACUGCCCACCUCACCAUCUUGCAAAUAGGCAAUAAGGCUAUAUGGAGUUUGACCUUUUACUCUGUGGACACUUCUUAGUCUUCAUUGAGGCCAUUAGUAUAUUAAAAACACUGAUGAAGGGCUAUUUGUUGGGUAAAGUCAUUUUCCCCUUGACAUUUAUUAUCAGUAGAAAAGUUUUUCUGUUUUAAUACCCACAUUCUGGCAUAUAAUUACUGUAAUAAAGUCUACUUCUUCACUCUGGGUGACUGCUGCCAGUAUUAUGAAAUCAUGGCAAUGGUUGUAAAAAUAAGGGAGGUCACAACCCUUCCACACACACACACACCCACUCUGCAGCUGAUAUUAAAUAGCUUCGGUGGGAAAAUGCAGACCUUUAAACUUUCUCUACCAAAUUCAAUGCAUUCUGUAUUUAACUUCUUUUUUAAAACAGUUAGUGUUGUAAGAAUUCAAAAACUGCAUAUGGCCAUGGGGAGAAGAAAUAAAAAGAAGGAGCUUAUACUUAAUUAGCUACUAAGUCCAACUUGGACCAAGCACAAUAACAACCAUUUCUUUGUGCUAACUAUUUUUAAUGAUAUGCAUUACAUGCAUUGGCCUGUCUGUUGCCCAGACUGUUCCAGCAUCCAUCUGCUUCAGUCUUAUGCUUUUGGCAAAGGACAGCACUGGGGAAAGUCUCCAUUUUGAUGUUUUGCCGUUUGGGUAGAGAUAAGUCUUAACAGAGAGCAUUCGCUCUAGACCUGAAGCCACCACCACAGAUUCAUGAUCACAAGAUGGUCAACGUCCAAGCACAUCAGAUGCUGUGUAAAGAUGCUUACUACACCUCAAACGGUACUCAAUAUUAUUUUGAUUCAUCCUCUCUGGUUUAAAGAACUUGGAUAUUUUAAUCCACUUGCUUCAAGCUAUUCUCUUAUAUAAUUGUUGGAUACAAUUUUUCUGCUUCCAACCAAGUCCUAAGUCAAGAUAAUUCAGCAUCAUCAAAAGGACAGAUAGGCCAUGACAGCAUGUCAUUUAAAAAAAAUCUUCUAGUACUUUAUGUAAUAGGAAUUUCCUUAUGGAGGGUCUGAGGAAAUAUCUAGUUUAAAAGUAAAAUCUUGAAUUUUCAAAUUUUAAAAAUCCGGAGUAAAGAGUCUCUUGAGAGUCAGAAAGUCAGGAUCUCUUUUUGCCCUCAGAAUGGGGAAUCACUGAAAUCCAUUGUCUUACAAUGCAGCAUAGAAGCAAUUUAGAAUACUAGAGAAAAAGAUGUACAAGACCCGCAAGAAAGCACCCACAGAGCAUAGUACAGAGAAAACCAAGCUCUGAGAACCUCACCCCACUCCACACAGAGCAGGUCUGCUGUUGUCUAUUUUAUUUUCUUGGCCUUAUGAGCCAUGUUUUGCUUAGAGCGGAAAAGAGCCACGACACCCACUUUGGAAAACAGUUUGAGGUUUGCAAAUCCUGCUGCCAGCAGUUCUGUUCCUAGCUAUGUAUCCUAGAGUAAUCUGUACAUAUAUGCCCCAGAAUGCACAUAUGUAAACAUUCACAGCACUGCAGUCCACAAUGACGUCAAACCAGAAGCAACUAAAAUGUCCAUCUGUAGUACCAUGGAUCAAUAAAUACACUCUGACAAACUCACACAACAGAAAACUAUGCAGCAAUAAAUUCAAUAAUGGAUGAAUCUUGCAAACACAGUGUUGAAUGAAAAAAUAAGUCAUGAAAGGACAAAACUAUUCCACUUAUUUAAAGUUUAAAAAACAGGCAACAAUAACCUACAUUGUUCAGAGAUGGAGGUAUAAGUAAUAAAACCAGAAGCAAAAGCAAAGAAAUGAUUAUCACAAAAGUCUGAAAAAUAUUUGUGGGGGAGGAUGGUAAGAGGUUAUAAGCAGAUAGAGGGUAGGAAGCAAGGGAAACUUCUAGGGUGCUAGCAAUGUUUCGUUUCCCAUCCUUGGAAGUUUUUCCAUGUGACUAUUUUAUUAUUCAUUCCACAACUGCAAAAAGUAAAACAAACUAACACACAAAAAGCACUACUCCCUAGACACAAAAUGUUUGAAUCCAUCAUGGCUUUAAUCCAACUUCUUCAUGGUGAACAUGAGGAACUAAGGCAGGGAGAUUGAGAGUGCCUGCCUCUCCUGAUGCCCCGUGUGUGGCUUCUGGGAAUGGCUCUCCCCCUCUCCUCAGAGCCUGGGGACAUGAACAGGACAGGACAGGUGGAAGUUCUGCACAGGAUGCCCUUCUCAAUACUUCACUCUGCUGGCUCCCCAAAGGCUGCUUCCCAAGCUUCUGUGCUUUUGCUUUCUCUCCCUCCAAGGUCAAGAUUUUUCCUCUUGGGAGGAAGCAGUUAAGGGCUAACCUUUCUUUUCCAGUGGGUAUUUUUAAGUCGUCCCAUUUCCAGGGGGCUCCAGAGCCUCUCAUUAUCUUACGAGGCUCUUCUGUGCCAUGUACAAACUGACCCCCUUCUUCUUUACCCCUCUUCCAAAGCCUCUUCUCUCAGUUCUCUGGGGUCCACAGCUGAGGUCCUCACUCAGACCCACCAGACAGAUGCACAUGCUGAACCUCCCUUCGUGUACGGAUACAGGCCCCCACUUGUACCUCCUCCUAGUCCCAUGUCUUCCUGACUUGCCAGUCCUAUAUAGACAAUAUGUAACAUUUAAUCUGCAUCCUAAAACCUACCAUAAUGGGCAUUUGACAGAUGUAACUGAAAAUGUUACACUCAAUGCUUCCUUGGACGCUUUUUAAUUAUGUUCCAAUAAAUCCAAUAAACAGCAGAAAGUUGCAGGCUGGUGUAUAGACUGAUUCUUCUGCCCCUGGGGAGCCUCUUCCUGAACUCAUUCUCCUUGAGCUUCCCAGUGUAUAGUGCUUUUAUUAUCAAAUUUUCAACAUAUUUUUAUUAUCCCCUUGCUUUAGAAAACAUAUCAGUUGCUGAGAAACAUUUAGCCAGAACUCUAUUUACAAAGUAAAACUGUAUGUUAAGGAAAUUCCACCCGAGACGUCACACACAGAUGUGAAUGAUAACACAAUUUUCAGCUGAUAUGGAAGUCUGUUCACUAGAUUUCUCCAGGUUUGUGCCAUUCUUGGAGUCUCAGGAUCUAGAAUAAAUUGAAGAAGAAGAAAUCCAGAAUCCAGAAGACAGAAUCUGAAGAAGUGAAUGAAGGAGUAACAGCAAAAAUUCAGAAAUGUUAGUAUUAUUUGUUUUUUGCUUGAGGCACUUAUCCAACCAAGAGACUUCAGAGCAGAGCCUCACCCUACAACAGAAAUCCCUACAGAGGCCACCAUGACAAUUACCAACCCCAGAUAUGUCCUACCUGUCUCAGUAAUAUGUAUCACAAUAAAACCUGCAGGACAACAAAAGAACUUGUAUCAUCCCUGAGCAUUCAGGGCGAUAGAACUUGAGCUUUCUCCCAGCAUUCACAUCACUUCCCUAAAGCAUGAUGGCUUGAUGACAAAAAUCCAUCAGGGAAUCAUCAUUCCAGGACCAGAAAUCCCAGACCUGUCGAGGUAAAUGUAUAAAACUGAAGCUAUGUCUCGACUGUGAGAGAUUCUAAGAUAAUCCUAAACAUGAACUUACAGAGAAAACCCAAAAUCCAAGGUAGCCCAAACCACCUAGCAGAGUGAAAAUACAGAAAAAAGGAAGUAAAACUGUAGGCAGAAAAACAAACAACAAAUAUACAAAUAUAUAUAUAUAUAUAUAUAUAUAUAUAUAUAUAUAUGACAAUCCAAAUAAAUGUGUAGCAUUCUCAGCCCCCAAAGUAACUGCUCUCCAAAAAAACUUCAUAUCACUCUCAAAGAAGCCCAUGUUCAUGUAGAGGUCUUCCAGCCAUGGGAAGAAAGAGAGAAAGAGAGAGAUGAAGGGAGGGAGAGAGAAAGAGAGGGAAGGAAGGAGGGAGGGAGGGAGGGAGGGAGGAAGGAAGGAAGGAAGGAAGGAAGGAAGGAAGGAAGGAAGGAAGGAUUAUUUCCAGACAAACUGGCCAUGGGAAAAAGUGCUUUUGUCAGAAAAACAGCAAUAUUUCCAAUCUCCUACCAUAUCUGUAGAAGUCCAGUGUAACCAAAAACAUCUGAAGAAGCCCAAAUCCUCUAUGUCAUGUGGGCAUACUGCCAUUACCAGAUAAGGCAAAACAAGAGGGUGAUUGUUUAUUCUUCUCUUUAGAAGACCCCACGCAUACGGGUUUGAUUUGCCUCUUGCUGUGUACCUUCAACAGGAUGAAUUUAGUUAAAAUUCCAGAGGAUAUGACAUUUUUUUUUUAAACUCAAGAUUGAACUCAGAGGUAUUACAUCUCCAGCCCAUUUUAUGUUUUAUUUUGAGACAACCUCUCACUAAGUUGCUUGGGGCCUUACUAAGUUUUUGAGGUUGGUCUUAAACCUGCAAUCCUCCUGUCUCAGCCUCCUGAGCCACUGGGAUUACAGGUGUGCACACACCACAUCAGGGGAUUUGUUCCCUCGUCCUCUUGCCUGUGCCUAGCUAUACUUCACCCAUCCCUCACCGUGCCAUUUACACACAGAGCCAUGGUAAAACUCCCCUGGAUUUGAAUUCCUGGGACAGCAUCUGUGCACAUCCUCAUUCAGACCCAAUUCAUUCCCCAAGUGUGCAUAGUUCAGUUCACCAACCAGAUUCUAGAAUCAAGCAAGACCAAGUCCCUUCUUGUGGCUUCUUAUCCAUCGCCUAUCACAAUGUUGGACUCAUAGCUGGUGUUAAGACCUACUAUGCUCCAUGUUGCCUUCCUCCCCAUUGCUCAGGAUCAGCACCCAGAUAUAAAUUCCCUCUGCACCAAGGCAUGGCCUAUCAUGGCGGAAUAGAAAUAUGAAAUUAGGUUCCCAAAGCAUUCAACAGUACCACUGAUUCUGCUAUAAUUUGGCUGUAGAUUCCUAAAAAUAACCUGUUUUAUUAGGAAUUCCAACAUUAAAAUAGUCGUUUCAGUGGUUGGGGAAAGAGAUUAGGAUUAGAGUUUCAGACAUAUUAUAUGUUACAUAAUUUAUAAUGUAUAUAUUCAUUGAUCAAAAUUGACUAAACGAACCCAAAAGUUUCAACCCAUGCACUCAGGAAUCUCAUAGUUUUCUCUCCUUUGGAUUUCAUAAUGUGAUUGUUUUUAUUGAGCCCCCAGUCUUAAGCUGGGAGUGAAGCAAAGUAAACCACACUUUAGAAGAGCUCACCAAGGAAAUAGGUAACAGCAUCUUCCCAGGCUUUGCAGGGCCCUACUUUUCUCUUCCUUUUGGGGAUCCAGUUCCUUAUCCAUCUAUUGUAACCAAAAAUAGAUAAUGCAAAAAUGAACACCUCAUAUCUAUUUUUCAGUAGGAAGACUCCUAGUAUUGAAAAACAACUGAACUCCAGGCUCAAAAUUAAAUUUAGGCUUUCCACAUCAAUCACUGACUUCCUGGGACCAAAUCAAUGAUGAUUCUGCAGGAAGUCUAUGUCCAUAUAGACAUGAGUCUUGCCCACUUCCAACCAGCCCCUCUAUAGCAGGCAUAAUUCUGCAGGUUACAUUAAAGGGGCCUGAAGCCAUGCCUUCAAGGCAGCUCCACAUAACACAUAGGGUUGUGGUUUCUUGAAGGAAUGUCAUCAACAAUGAAAACUUGGUGGUCUCCUGAGAAAGGUGGGAAUAAAAAUCUGUCAUCUGGUGCAUCUCCUAAAGAAUUUGCCAAACCCACCCUAGAUGUGUGGAUGAAAAGUAUUACUUCCUUGUCAUCAGUGAAGGCUACUGAUUCCUUUUAGCACUGACAUAUUGAUCUGAGCUCAUUUGGGAUUUUAACUAAAAAGUUUAGAUAGCAGGUGUUCUUACUGACUCAUUCUAAGUCAUGUUGGGACCCAGGGAAAGCCAAACCUGCUGGAUUAUUAGCACUAUCACACUGCUAAGAACUCAACCUGGAAGAUACAGACCACCUCCACAGCAUCUCCAGGAAGCUUUUGGUAACACCACUUCACAGAUGAGAAAACCAAGGCUUAGGUUGGUUAAAUAUUGCUAUUGUCUAAAUGUUUUUAUCCUCCUAUAAUUCAUAUGCUAGAAUGCAAUACCCAAAGUGAUGUCUAAGAGGUAGGGCCUUUGGAGAAGUGUUUAAGUCCUAAGGGCACAGCUCUCAUGAAUGAUUAGUUCCCUCACAAAAGAAGCUCAAGGGAGCUCCCUUGCACCUCUGAAAUGGAGAAAGCCAGAUCUCACCAGAUACCAAAUCUGCUGGCACCUUGAUCUUAGAUUUCCAUCCUCCAGAACGGUAAAUAAUGAAUUUCUGUUAUUUGUAAAUUACCCAGUCUACGAUAUUUUGUUAGAGCAACCCAAGUAGACAAGGCAAGUAUCUUGCUUAAGGAUAUAGGCCUGGUAAAUUUUGUGAAAUUGGGAUUCAAACCUAGGCCCUCUGAAAGGACCUUAAUCUGAACCACUACACCAUAUUGCCUUUUCUAUAUCAGCUGUGAGGACAAGGGUAGAAAGGACAACCGGUGAUUUCCCUGUCAGCUCUACCUAAAGGAUACUUUUUUUCCUUAUGCCUUUCUCCUCAUGUUGCAUCUGCUCAACCUACCUCUGAUUUCAACCACAGUCUUGGUAGACAUUUCUAUGAAUCUUAGAUUGAUUUUCUCCUUUCCUGCCUCCUUUGAAGGUACGGGAACCCACACAGUCCAUGUUCAAGCCAGCUUGCAAGUCCCUAGCCAGUGAGAACUGAUGGGGAAAUGUUCAGCCUCCAUCUUACCAAUGGACACUCCACAUGCUUCCCAUCAGAACUGUGUGGCCCAGCUCCCAUUGCCCACAGCAUCAGCCUGAAUAAUACACUCUUAUAUUGGCUUUCUCCUUUUUUCCACACUCACCCCUUCCCCUCACUCAUGUGUCUUAGGUUCAACUCCCAAAAAAAACCUAUUUGUACCUAAGAUCUACUCUCAGGCUUUCUUUUGGGGAACCAAACUAAGACAUCCACUUUUGAGGCUUGAUGAACUGGACAUUUUCUUAUAACUCCUUCCCCGUCUAUUAUUCAGUGACUUCUACAUCACACACAUAUUUCUGCAGUCUUCCACUUAUUUAGUCCUGAAUCAAGGUAUAGAGGAGUUCUGCUAUGGUAGAACGUGAAGACACAAACACAGGACAUGGUGUUAGGACUUACCUAAAGGUGCUUGGGUGUGAGCUACUGGAUCUGUGUUUCUACCUAGAUUUACAGAGAAGUGUCUGUUUAUCUGGGAAGACUUAUUCUACUCACUAGUCUGCACAGAAGCUUGGCAUGAUUCUCUAUCAAAUUAUCCAGAAAGACAGUCUAGUCCUGCUAUUACAUUUGGUUGUGCUUCCAUCCAGUCUGGACAAGUCUUGAAGAACAAUCGACAGGUUCUUUUCUUCCAAGUAAAAUAUUCUAAGGCCAACUCCUUUCUGGUAUUAUGAUCUUACAGGCAUUCUGGAUGACAGUUGGCAGGCCCCCCAGACCCCCGUGGAUAUGUAUAAAGAAUAGGUAGGCAAUGAGUAAGAAGAGACACAACAUUCAUCUGGUCCAAAUUUAUCCUUUCACAGAUGAGAAAAGUGAAUUUCCCAGAGAAUUAUUGAAUCAUACAGCACACCUUCCAGCCCGUGAAGGCCAGCCCAGGCCUCCCCAUACAGGUCUGCUUCCAUUGAGAAGCAGCUAACAAUCAGCCAGUCGCUGACCAUCAGUGAAUAUGAUACAACACCUUUCCCAGAUAUCAGCAAGACUCCCACCUUCCCAUAUAAAUAGUAAUGAAAAAGCUAAGAGUCCCUCUGAAAUUGCCAUGCAGACAAUAACAGAGGCAAUUGUUGUAUAAUAAUCAUAGACUUGCAGUGUUUGAGAACUUGAAAGAGGCUCUGUUGUUCACUGUUAAGGGUCACUAAUUUGGAAAAACUAUGAAUUUGUUUAAAUUCUGGUAAGCUGCAAUUUAAAAUUUUGCAUUUCUCCAAAUAUUUUAUUUUUCACUAUGUUAAGUGCUCCAAAUAUAUUACAUGUUCUUUACUUCCUAGGUAUAACUAUCAUGCCCUCAAAUCCCUAUAGAGUCACCAUAAGCUCAGAGUUAAUACAAUAACAUUCAAGAAAAAUAAUAAAAUCCAUGUUUAAAAUUCUCAGCAAAUAGAAAGAUUGUAAAUAUUUCUUUAGUGUUCUUCAACAGUGAUGUUAUUGUCUUAAGACUUAUUUCCAGUGAACUGAUCAUUAUUAAGGAGGUUAGUUAUUCUUUCCUUUGUUUUCUAAUUGUAGUAAAAGAUGCAUAACAUAAAAUUACCAUCUUGACCAUUUUAACUACACAGUUUAGUAAUGGUUAGUAUAUUGACAUAUCUCCAGAACUUUCUCAUCUUGCAAAACUAAAAGUCUAUACCCAUUCAACAACUCCUUCUUUCUGCCUCUCCCCAUCCCACCACAGCCACCAUUCUACCUUCUGUUUCUAUGACUUCAACUAUUCUCAGUGCUUCGUAUGAGUGAAUUCAUACAGUAGCUGUGGUUUUAUGUCUGGCUUACUGAACUUGGCAUAGUGUCCUUGCUAUGAUUUUUAUAAGUGCUUCCAAAGUUCCAUGAGUUAAAGUCUUUGUCACUUGCCUGUGGCAACUUUAGGUGAAAAAUUUAGAGUGGGGCCCAGUGGAAGGAAGUUCAGUUGCUGUGGCCAUGUCCUCACAGGAGAUAUUAGGACUCCAGCCCCUUCCCAUCUCUCUCAGGUAUAUAUCAGAUAUAUAUUCUCAUUUUCUCUCCCCCACCAUGGCUCCUUCAAUUGCUGAACAGCUUCCUCCACCACACAGUCCCUCCAUGAUGUACUGCCUCACCACAGGCUCAAAAGCAAUGGGUCCAACCAAUCAUGGACUGAAACCUCCAAAACUGUGGGUUAACAUAGGCUUUCCUUCCUCUUAAGUCGAUUUAUCUCCAGUAUUUGUUAUAGCAAUGGAAAAGCUGACCAACAGUCCUCAGUGUUCAUUCAUAUAGGAGCAUAUACUAGAAUUUCUUCCGUUUUCAAGGCUGAGUAAUACUCCACUGUAUACAUUUAACACAUUUUGUUUAUUCAUUCAUCCACCCCAGGGCUUCUGCCCCUUGGCUAUUAUGAAUACUGCUACUGCAUAUAUAGGUGCACUAACAAAUUGCUUUAAAUUAUAAUAAAUUGGUUACAUUCUGUAGUGUUCCUUCUAGCUUAUUGUCUUACUUUCCUGUUUUUAAGAAAAGCUAACUCUUAGACUGGGUUUGUAGCUCAGUGGUGGAGUGCUUGCCUCUCACGUGUGAGGCACUGGGUUCAAUCCUCAGCACCACAUAAAAAUAAAUAAAUAAAAUAAAGGUAUUGUGUUUAUCUGCAACUAAAACAAAGUUUAAAAAAUAACUUUAAAAAGAAAGAAAGAAAAGCUAACUUUAGUCCCUCCUAUUUGAUUAUCCACAGCUUUGUCAACCUGUUGGCUGAACAGUCAUGAACAAGUAUGGCCAUUCAUCUCACAGAACCAAUGAAAAAGCAAUUUGCCUACCAAGAAAUAGUCUAAACAGGGCCUGGGAUCACAAAACUCAUCAAGUGGUGACAAAGUUCUAUGUGGAGGUAAUAAAAGCAGAGUGAUUCUAAGUGGCUGGGAUCAGAUUCCCAGUUCUAUCCUUCACCAGCUGUAUGACCUUGAGAAAGUUACUUAACCUCUCUACGCCAAAUUCCUAAUCCCUGAAACAGAAUACCAUGACUCUACAUGUCUGGGGUAACGGGGAAGAAUAAAUGAAAUAAUCUAUGUAAAGAAUUUAGCCUGGUAUCUGGCAUACAGUAAGUGCUACAUAAUUGUCAAUCUUUAUUCUGUGGUUACAGAUCACCAUUCCAACUCCCUCAGUUCACAGAUGAGACCCAAGAAGAUGAGGAUGCACAAAGAACUAAGUUGUGUGUGUGUGUGUGUGUACCCCUUGUUUGGCAUAAAAAUCUGGCAACCAGGUCUUUAUUAUGUUUUUAACCAAAAUAGUCUUGUUUAUCUCAAAACUUUGAUUUAAAAAAUAACAUAUCGUUUAACUUAAAUUUGACCCUUCACCCACAGGCUUGAAAAGGAAAACUAAGAAACAGGAACUGACAAUUUAAAACAAAAAAAAUAAAUUUGAUAAAGACCAAGCAAGCAGUACAUACAAACCUUUCCACCUUUUUGCUAAGAAAACCCCUUGCCUUGUGCUUUUAAAUCUUGUUUAAAAUACAUCCAGUUUUCUCUUGCUUUCACAUCAGGUGCGGAUCAUCACAAGCCUCAUCCAAAGCCACCACAUCUUAAACAACCACCCCUGCCUCAUUGGCCUGUUCACAGGUCACACUGAGCUGUGGCCCUUGAGCUCUAGUAAAUAUAUGUGGGCAGUUUAUUGGACACUGGUCCAAGGCUUCAGAGCAACUCGAGAACUACAUUCAGAUAGAAUUCAGCACUUCUGCUCUGCCAGGCAAGUGAUUCCCUCAUCUCUACUGCUGCAGAGCAACUCCUGUGGCUGCACUUGACUGAGCAUCUUAUCAAAGAACAAGAACAUCAGGCCACCUUCCUUUGCUCCUGUUGACCAUUGGUGCCCUUAGCCCAGGAGCUAUCCAGCAGGUGAGUAGUUAGCAACACUGGCUGUGCACUAGAAUCA